rnacentral:lncRNA from 1 species
UCGAUGAGGAGUGAGACAUCUUACAUCAGCACUAUCUUUGUUGAAGUUGGCGCGUGGAAACGUCACCAGGUAAUCAAAACGUAACAAUUUAAAUACCGUGGAGUGAGACAUCUAGCUUUCUUACUAUCUCUGCAGAGUGACGCUCAUGGUAGCAAUAGCAGCUACUUGUAAACACAACAUGUUGUUGGAUGGAUGGAGGCCUAUCCUGUCGUAAAAUUAACACAGUCCAGACUCAUCUCAGCUCAGGAGAGUUACCUUCAGCCUGGGGUCAGUGAGAACGUGCGUUUGAGGUGGAGGCACGUGACAGCUCCAAGGUCCACACUCAGAGUCACUGUGAGUUUAACAUUUUUAACUUUAUAAGUCUUUAUCUUUUUCUCUUCCUCUCUUCUCUUUAUCGAAAAUGAUUUCAAUGUCAUAUUGACUUAUCUACCAUCAACAUUUCCUAAAGUUUUGCCUCACUGAGCAGGUAGCCUUUGUUCACUUACUCUAAUGCUAGUAUUAGGAUGAAGCAGGCUUGCUGUUUAACCAUGAAUUAAAUGAAAAAUAAUCAGAAUUUUCCUUGUAAAUGUAUUCAAAUUCAACUUUAUUCGUAUGGCACUUCUCAGACAAAAAGAUGCAGUUCAAAGUGCCUCACAGAGGAUAAAAACAACAAUAAAACCCAACCCUCUCACUCACACAAAUAGACACACACCCACUCUCACUUACCCACACAUGUGCACACAAGCACACACAAAGUGAGAAUUUAAGAUAUAUUGUUAAAGAGACAUGGCCUGACCCCGAGACAUUAUGUGAGGAAAGAGGUACCUUUAGGAAACACUGGAGAUACAAAGAUAAAAAUGGUAAAAAGAGAAAAACCUGAUGGACUAAAACAAGAAAAUAUAUUAAAUGAGCAGAUAGGCAAGAGCUCUUCACCAUGUAAAAAGGGUAAAAGAAGAAAAACCGCUAUGAUGGGAAUUAAGAAAAAGACAAAGAACAGAGAUAAUUCAUAAAUGACAAAAAAGAAACAUCAAGUACUUCAAUUAAAAUGAACAUUUGCAAUAAGAGAAAUAUAAAAAGGCAGUAAGUGAAAAGCCUGGUUAAAAAGGUGAGUCUUGAGCCUCUUUUUAAAAACAUCAACAGUCUCUGUGGCCCUGAGGCUCUGUGGCAGGCUGUUCCACAACUGGAGACCAUAGAAACUGAAAGUUUGAACUUUGGGUAAGGUGAAAAGACAUGUGCUCGAGGACCUCAGGGUCCGCAAGGGUUAAUAUGAGAGAAGUAAGUCAGAUAAAUAGGAGGGGUCAAGACCAUUAAUACAUCUAAAAACUAAUAAAAGAACCUUAAAAUCAAUUUUCCAGUAGACUUAACUAGCCUGACUUAAAACUGUAAGUGAACAGCACAGAUUUAAGGUUAAAAGUGAGGGAUAACGUAAAGAGCUGCCAGAGAAACCUGAAUGCUUUCCUAAAUUCUGUCACGAUUCAAGGAUGAGGUCAAAAAAACAUUGAAAAACUAAAUUAACAGGCCUUAUUUUAAAACCAUCUAUAAUAUAUACAGCAGUAGAAGUAAAGUGUGCCCACAGACAGUUGCUCUCUUUUUGUAUCUGCCAACACAAUCCUGGCAUUGGCACAGGAUUUCUUGAGAAACUAGAAAUGUCAGCUUAAUGCUUUUUUAAUUCCCGUUAGAGACACCGUAUAUAUUCAUUAUGUAUAAACACCAUUUGGCAAAGAAUAACUCCAGCAUUUCUCUGGUGGAUAGCAGAAAAAGUAGGCUUUUCUACCCCCGGCAUGUUCGGGCCCUUUGGGAGGAAACAGAUAGUGGGAACAAAUUAGUAAGAAAACACAGAAAAAGAAAGAAAACGUCGUCUUAAUAUGUCAUCCCUCCAGCCUUACACUGUGACCUAUUUGGACUGCAAACAUAAAGUGGUGGCACUUUUGAAAUAUACAGAGUAUGAAUGAAAUUGUUCCCACUAGUGUUGAAACCGUCCCAACUUUAGUGUGGAAGCUGUGAGGAAGAUUAUUAAUGCAGCAAACAUUAAAAAAAAAAACUCAUUUUCAUCUUAAAAAUGAUGCAAAUGCUGUGGUUUUGAGGACUGCUCGGGGAGCUGUUUCACCUCUGGUCUUUGCAUCAUUGCAGUCAGCAGCAGGUGUUAUGGUUGAGCUUAGCAGGGGGGGACUUUCUGCACACUGCGAAACCGUGUUGCAAGGCUUAGUUUAAUAAAUGCAAUAAAGCAGACUCCCUGACUCAUUUAGAGAGGAUAUUGGUUUAUCGGCGUAACUUAUUCCCUCUGCAAAACAUUUGAUCUUCUUAAAAGUUAACAAAGCGAACAUGAUCUCAUCCAACUGGGCUGUUAUUGAUAGAUUAAACAUGACGCAGUGUUUCCAGAUCAAAAUAUUUACCGUAAAAUCUGCUAAAUAAAUCUGAGAGUCUAUUUUUUCUGAGUAUUUUGUUGUAUUUUGCUGCAGCUUCACUGUGAGGGAAGCUGUAACAUCAUAUUUUGCAGGACAUGAGCUGAGCACAGUAAACUUCACAUACGUUCAGAGACACCUCUUCUCUCCUUCUCGCUGUUUACACCGACGGCUCAAAACGAGCCAAACAGACCCUCAGGCCGCCGUGUCCCGCUGCUCCCUGAUGUACAGUCCACGCCUGAUUAUGCGUCCUUAUCCUGCGAAUGUCUCGAUCAGGAGUCGUGUCUUGAGGGUUUUUGAUUAUGCGUGCUUUGAGAGAACAGAUGGUUCAUCACAGGAGCCUCUGAGAUGAUCAUGCAGAUCUUCAGUCUGUCUUUCAGGUGAGAAGAGACUGCAGUGUUGUAGCUGUAUGGGAACAAAAAACCUCGUGAUCAAACAAUCUCUUAUAUCACAUUAUCACAGACACAAGCUCUUGUCUUCCGUUCUCUGCUCUUUGUCAUCAUCUGUUCAUGUUUUUUGGACUAAUUAAAGUAAAUAGGCUCGAUGCAAAUUUUGGAACAGAUGUACGUUAAUUCUGACUUUAAAACUAGUAAUUGAGACCACUCUUCUUUAAAGUUCUGUUGAUGUGUUAUUGCACUUAAACUCUGAAUAGGCUGAAUCUACUAUUACCAAAGUCAUCCUGAGACUGGGACCUUUCAUACGAAAGAAUCUCGCCAAAAGUUUCUGCAGAUCUUCAAAAGUUUUCCAAUAUUACAAGAGUACUGUCAUGUAGAGCUGGGUGAUAUGGCCUCAAAUCAAUAUCACGAUGUAUUAAGCAGUUCACCUCGAUAACUAUAAAUGGACAAUAACUACUCCACAAGCUGCUCAACCCCUCGCACAUUAACUUCGUCUAAAGGUCCUUUCACACCGGGACCGUUUUUUUCGUGCGAUCAUUUCAGACCUUAUUUUUUUCGAACCCGUAUCCUGUCAAUACAAGCGCUCACAUCAGCGACGUUUUCCCGUCCUGCGAUAUUGUGGCAUUUAUUUUUUCGUAUCAAGGUUGAAUUUUCUAAAGUUUCGCAUACUGUGUUUUCAAUUCAGACCAAUCAGAUUGCGUGUUGUUGCGACGUCAGAUUCACCGGUAUAUUCAACAUGGCCGACCAGCUUAUUGUUUACGUGUCGGAGAACAGAGUGCUUUAUGAUGAAAAACACAAACAUUACAAAGAUAACGACAACUUAUGGAGAGUCAUAGCGUCGGAUUUCUCAUAUGACGAUGGUUUGUGUGCUUUAACAGUUUGCUAAACGUCUUUGUUUUAACUUUCAUCUGUGCUAAGUAACUUUAGCUCGUAAGCUAACGUGUUCAGAUAUCAACAUAUCAAAUAACCACCUUAAAAGCCCGGUCUCCCCGGGUUUUAAAACGGGUCUUCGGCACCAUUAGGGUGUUCUGGCCUGACGACCGAAGGGUGCGCCCUGGGGAGUAGGGGCACAAAAAAUCAGUGAUAUAUUGGGUGGCCUGACCAUGCAGCGCCCGGAAAGUCAGAACUAAAAUUUUGAAAUGAAUACAGAAAUUGACCGGUAGCCAAUAAAGACAUGGGUGAUGUGAGCAGAUUUGGGCGUGAGCAACUUUGACUUGGACUGAACUUUAAAAUCCAAAAUGAUCUCAUCAUUCCUGACAGAGUUCUCUCGGCUGAUUUGGCUGCACAAAACAACAGACUAAAUUUGCUUCAACAUGGUGACCAAGAAACAACCUCCACUUCCACUCAAGACACGUACAGCAUUUUUUAUGGUUCAAAUUUAACAUACCGUCUUUUAGCUCUCUUCUGCUGUGAAUCAAAACUGAAUGGAAUGACAGAGCUGAGCUGUGUUUCAUCACAUUGAUGGAAAACGGGUGAGAUGCUUGACCUCUACGGCGUUCAUUUUAUUCCGCUCAAUCAUAAAAAUAAUCGUCCACCAGCUCACCAUGGUUUGCAACACUCGUCUGUGCUUUUCUCUCCAGUUAAAGAUUCUGAAAGAAGUGAUUUUCAGAAAAAGACAUCAAUAAUCUUCUCUUCACUUCAAGUGUAAAGCAUUUUAUCAUCCUGUAAACAUGAAUCAGGGAUGUAUGAUGAGUGCAUUAGCUGCCAUUAUUGUCCUUAUUUAUCAGUGAAUUUUCAGUUUUUGCUGCCAGUGUCUUGUUAAAGCACAUGAAACUGUUUCAUUUGCAGACCCUGCCAUGAUAAUGAAAUGUAAUAGAUGGGUCGGCUAACUCGGAGACGGUGGGACUGAUUGAUCGAUUUCGAGCUGCUUUACUCAGACUGUGAGGGAUGGCCUGGAUGAUAAAAUGAAAGUUGAGUAAUGAUAACAAAUAAAGAGACAAGAUGUUGAACAAAGUCAAACUAUAAAACUGAAAUCUGUGUUUUGGGAAUAAUAAAUUGAGACUUUAUGCAACUAGAGCUCAUAAAUCAAAAAGACUUAAUGUUUGAAAUGAUGAAAGUUUCAGCAAUGAAACAGUUGUUGUCGGAUAAGUACAAGGAUGUGCAGGUUUUUACACGCAAACCGGAGAAAAGAGAGAUAUUUUAAGAGGACGCAGAGACGGUUGGCGGAAAAACUUGUGUCAACCUUUUGUUAGGAGCCAAAUCAGCUCGAUUAAGCAGUCACAGUCCUUUUAUUUCAGCUGUGAGUGAGAAUUUGUUCAAACUAUUAAGAAAGGUUAAGUCUUGUAGUAACUUCAUCUUUGGCUCACCACAAAAAGCCAGCUCUCUUUUUCUCUGAUUUACAUUUACACAUGCCCGGCUAUUUUCAUAAACAGACAUUUCGCCCUCUCUGUUUCAAAAAAAAAAACCUGCAUGAACACCAGCACAUUUUCAGAAAUGUUUUCGUUUACACUAACCCGUGUAUAUAUGCGGUCAAGAACAUAUCAAACAUGUGGGUGGCAGUGAAGCGAGAAGCUCAAGCCCAUGUUAGCCAAUCAGAAACCCACAUAGCAGCAACAUUAACCUCUUUAAUCCAAAAUUUUUCCCUGCAAAAUAAGUGCACGCAUUUCAUCCCGUAGACCUCCUUAAGACAUAAUAUAUAUGAUUUUUGUCAUUUCAUGUUGGUUUUGUCAGUGAAAAAUGAGGUUAUAUACUCAGCAACAAUUGUUGCCAGUGGGAAACGGCAUAGUCGAAAUCUACACAAUUUCUUUAAUUUGACCUAUUUACACCAUAGACCAUGUAUAGAAUGGACAGUGUCUGCCUCCUCGCUGGAUGAAGCCACUCCAAGAACAGCACCCCCUGGUGACGGGCUGCAGUAUAUAAUAAGCAGUAAACAUAAACUGUCCAGUAGGGUUGCAAAGGGCGGAAAAUUUCUGGUAAAUUUCCAGAAACUUUCCAUGGGAAGUUAACAACGUCCCUCCUUUCUUUCCUGCGCACAAUCUGCUUUCGGCACAUCCAAUGCAUGUGCAUCUUAUUUUGUAUAUUUAGGUUUAUUUUAUCAACACUCACUCUCAUCUUAGUUUUAAAGUUGCUGGGUGUAAAAUCUGAAAAUUCAACUAUAGUCCUGAAUACUUGGCUUCAAAGAAAAACAUGCAAAUUAAUAAAAUUAUAUUCCAUUCAGUUCGGUUUACUGUGUUUAACUUGUUGAGUCCUGAGUGCAGACUCUGUUGAAAAUAGACUCGGUGCGUCUUAAGUGGAGUGAGGAGAAGAGAAGGUCCCCUCCAUAAUUCUGUCAAUGCUUCAGCCGUGUUCGUAAAAUAUGAAGGAAUUUAAGAUUUAAUGGUGAAAAUAUUUCAACAUUACUCCUGUUUGAGAGAUUUCCUAUUAAAGAUCAGGGGUAUUACCGUUCCUCCACCUGAAGUAGUGACUCGAGUGUUUUUGUUUUUGGUUCCAGAGACCACCAUCAUGUUUAUUCAUGCCUCCUUCGGUGAGACUAUUGUCUGCAGGUCGCCCCUCUGUCUGGUAAAUACGUGACGCCUCCAAAAUCAUCCACGCAGGCACAGGUCUUGAUUCACCACCCUCAUUAAUAGUCGAAAGCAGUGGCACCAUCUAAUUAUGAAGCUCAUCCAUCAACAGUAACAAGGGCUGUCAUCGAUAUUUAGUUGGGCAUAAAAGCCGGCACGCUCUGCUUUAUAUGCUGAGCGAGACGCCACAAAGAAUUUGCAAGUUCCCAAUCUUGACACUAAUAGCUUUCCAUAAUUUAAUGAAUGAUGUAUUAAACCGAGGAACGUGAAGAACCGCGAGGAACGAGCCGGGAGAUACAAACAAAAGUCACUGCCUGUAAUUUACUUGAGAAACUCUUGACCUAAGAGGAGGUAGGAGGGAGGGAAGGAGGCGGCGCGGCGUCACCUCUCCGCCCUUCGCCGGGGUGAGCGGGGACUCGGGUGUUAACGUGUUUUUUUCUGUGGCGUGCUGUCAUUGAGAUUCAAAGGCUGGCUCUGUCUCCUGCUAAUUAACACCUCUUAAUUAUAAUGAGUUGACUGAUCAGCCAUGCAUAUGAGUGGAAAGAGAAGGGACCUCGGAUAACAGUUGAUGCUAUCAGUCAUUGCUUUUGAACCGUAAAGCACAACAGUUACACAGCUGGAUCUAUAAUGAGCAUUGUGACCGAGUACGUGGACCUUUUUCCUCUGCGUAUCCUCUCAUAAUGACCCAUAAAAUAAAGAUUCACUGUUUUUAGACCGGAAGAAGGAUGAGUCAUGCUGAGUUGUGUGAUUGAUCCCCACAAUAAGACUCAUAACUUUAUUUAAAGCAGCUCCUCCUCCUGCUGUUUCAGCCACAUGUUCCUUUGAGUUUUGUUAUUACCAGAAAUAAAGAUUUGUGUUUGCUUCUUUGCUCUCUCGGGUGGCGAGAAAUUAUGCACCGCCAACACGCGUGCAUUGAUAUUCCUCCUUGCAGGGCUGCAAUUCUUUCCUCUAAUGAAGCCAUUAUUUUGCCGGUAUUAAAUUUGGUGGUGUGAGGUUAAUGGCUUCAUUAGGCAACAAAUCGCCAUCCGGGGCCUGUGUAAUGUACUUUGCCUGUCCUGUCUUGGCUAUAUUUCAUUGUUUGCCAUCUACGAAAGUAUUAAAUUAGAGGGAAACAGAUUAGCCAGGGCUAACAACAUGGAAUGCUUUUAUUGCAGAAUGCAAUUCAGUGCAGCAAUUUAUAAUAACAAGUGGCUCCAUGCUGAUGAUUUAGCACCCUUUGGGCAGGGGCCAGCACUGAUCUGUGUCUGAUGUUUUGGAGACAGAGACGUGGAGAAACAGAACAAAGAGGAAGAAGGAGAGGAUGACUCUUUGUCCUCGAGGGGAUCAUGACAGGAGUCAGAAUGUGUCUCUGAGGAGAUCCAGAAGUGUAAUAAACAAACACAGAGCAGAACAGGCUGAAAAUUUGUUAGGAUACCCGUAAGGAUGCCUAGCCCAUGUUCACACUUGAAAGAAUGGAAGGUCCACACAAAUGAUCAUUUUGACAAGCUUUACUGGUUGCAGAUCUGGGUUACAGCUUCAUCGUGCCACAAGUGUAACAAAGGCUGGUCUGAGACUGUUCAAGUAUGUUUAGUUGUCCACAUUUCCAAACAUUCUGCUUGUAUUUUGUUGACCUGAAGGAGAGUCCAUGUAGGGUAAUAACAAAGCACAACAUAUUUUUGGAGCCUGAGUGAUGUUGAACAUGGGUACAAGGUCCUUGUUGAGGAUGGUUGUUGGAGGCCCAUGGCUCCAGAAAUCCAGCACUGAAGUAUUCAAGGUAUUUGAGUGACACAGCUCCACUACCUUAAAGGCUGACAUGAAUUGCUAAAGAAAAUCACCUCAACAAUACCACUGAAAGAUGAGCAGAUGUCUUUUGUAGUGUUAUGUCGUUCAUGAACGAUUCGUUCAAAAGAAAAGAAAAGAACUGCUGUGUGAACGACGUGAAUGGAAUCACUCAAAGUCCUGAUUCAUUCCUUUCUCAGAGCGUGGCGUGCUGGUCUCGAGUGGAACUGCUGCUUUUGACUUUUUGGCAAACGACACACAGCUAGCCAGGACGGGCGGAGUCUUGUGAUUUGCUCACACCUCCGAACGACUUGAGGCAGGCAGAGGAGGGACGGGCAUUCACAAACUGCCGAGCACCGGUUCAUUCACUUUGAGCCACUCCGCGAUAUAAAAGCAUGACUACUCGCACUUAUUUAGUGGGCGUGCUGCUUGCUGCUGUGUUGUUUCACUCGCGUCGCAAUGCGAACGUUGGCGGCACAGGGGAGUGAUUCUUCCUUCACGACUUGGCGAAUGAACGACAUGUGUCACUCAGUGAAUGACGCUGUGUCUUCAGCAGCAGGGGAGGGGAGGGGCUCGUUCAAUGAAGGAACACCCGAUCAGCGCCACUGUGUCACUCACUUGUGUACUGCACCCAGCAGGACGGGACUCUGAAGCACUGACUGAUUCGGUGAACAAAUCUUUUGAACGAAUCAUUUUAAUGAACUGAUUCCAAAGAUUCAGUAGAGUCAAAAGAACUGUUCUCCCCAUCACUCGUCUUUUGCCAACAAGAGGAUGGCUGCUGUGGGAAUAUGUUCUACAUCUCUACUUGAACUUUUGUUUGUCAUACUUCAUGGUUAUGUUAAGGUCGCCAUCUCUGUCCUGGGAUGCUCCCUGGCUCCUCUGAAGGUGGUAGGGAGAAAGGGGAAUGAUGGCUGAGCUAUUAUACCUGAUGGAGAACGUGUCCCUCACUCAUGCAGAGCGCUGAGCAGCCCCCCAGUGUGAGCUGCUUCACCAGCAGUGUGUGAAAGACAGAUACUGCAGUCCCCUGUUUCCUGCUGCUGUCAGACUUUACAAUGAACUCCGGUCCCUGCAGUGGCAUCUUUCUACUGCUCUGCCUAAACUCAGGACACUGAAUAUUCUCCACUUUAGGGAUUAAUAAAGAGUGAUCUUAUCAUGUGAAAAAAGGCACAAAAUUAAUGUGAAAGUUUAUCUAAAUCUCAUUAAUGUGUCGCAGCUUUAUCAUGAGCCAUAAUGACUGUCUACAGAGAGAUAAGAGUGUGUACUGAUGUCGUGUUUACAACUUUGUAAAGUGGUUUAAAAAAAAGAAAAUGCUGCUUUUACGAAGUUUAUCAAAGUGCUGCAUUGAUAACCAAGUUAUCAAUACCAAAAAAAGUUUAUAAUGAGAUGUAGGGGUGUCCCGAUACAACUUUUUACCAAUAUUGAUCUAAUAUUGGCACAAACUUGCAAAGUUUGGACUUCUAAGUCUUUUUCAGACUUAAACGAAAAAUACUGCCACACAGCCGACAUCACACCGACUCCUUGCUACUUUGUUUGUACCUUAGUACACACUGUUGUGAUCCUGAGGGCUCUGCAUGCUAGAUCCAGGCACUGCUAGCUAGAGGUGCCAGAGUGGAGUCUGGAGUGGACUGUUUGUAUCGGAGUGCUGAUAUCUGAGAUUUUAGAUGCAGGCCGAUAUAAUCCGAUAUUUGUUUUUUGGCUGAUAUCGAUAGCCGAUAUCAAUAUCGUAUAAGGACAGCCCUAGUUAGAUGUUCAUAAAUGGUUCCUUCAUUGCAUGGUACAGUUUUGAUCUGCAACUGUGUACGCAGCGACAAUCUGUGUUUGGAGACGAUGUUUUCUGGGUGUUGCAUUGUUCUAAUGCGGUGAUUUCCACUACAGAGUCAUGUCUGUUUUUAAUGAACUGCUGCCCAUGGGUUUGAAGAUUAGGCCAUCCAGUUUUAGCUAUCAACUUUGCCCCUUUGUCUGAAAAUCUUGACAUAUUAGUAAUAAUACAGAUUUUAUUUAAAUCACACUUUAUGUUUGAAAUGAACCUCAAAGAACUAAAAGCACAAAAACAAGAUGAAAACACAACAAGAGAGGAUUUCAACAUUUAUAAGAAGAUGUUUCGAUCAAAGUGUUCGGGCACUUCCCAUCAGACAGAGACUUUUGAAAGAGAAAUCUUCUGAACAGUUUUUGAAGGAUCUAGAUAUCUGUCACGCCCCCUAAGGGUUUGGGAGCAGUAUCCCUCAGACCUCGCGCAGUGGAGCUAAAGGUCUGGUCCCCUACUGUGCAGAACCUCGUCUUGGGGUGUGCAGUUGCUGGAUCAGAGGUUUCUUUGGGUGGUUUGAGGGGUUUACGGCUCUUUGAGUUAGAUAGAGGCGUUGUUGUCGUCAUGCUUGUUCUGUCAAGGGAGAUAGGAGAUCGUUGGUGCAGCAGCGUAAUUCAGACCAUUCCAGUGUUUUGUUGUUCCUGUACCAACUCUUUUUAAACCUGUUGCUGACAUUAAAGUCAGAGUGUAUAUUUCAUACAUAUAUAUUUCAUAAGAGGAGUCUUUGAAGGACUUAAUGGGUCAAAUCUUUGAAGCUGCAGACAGUGUAAAUACUAAUAAAGUCUUUUUUCGUUUAAAAUUAAUACCCCGUGUCUUCGCCUCAACACCAUAAAGAGCAAUGCCUCACAUUAGAGCACUGAGCUAUCAUUUCAAGUGUUUAAAAAAACAGUUACAUAGCGGUUUUUGAGGCGUGUACACGAGCCUGUGAUAUGUCUCUCUUUUAAAUAAGAGCUGUGGUGCAUUCAAAAUACAGGGUUUAGCAGUCGAUGCCUCACAGCAGACUCUGUGUGCAGCCGUAAUGUUUAAUUCAUGCCCGUGUGUGUUUGACUGAUCCCAUUCCAGGUGAGCCUGUGACAAUCGGCUCCACUGAAAUAGAGUUGGAGGGGUUUCUGUGGCAAUAAAAAUGAUAAUUAAAUGACAGACAAGGGGCCACAUUGAGCAAAUAACUAUGGAGCUGCUGGGGUGAGUCGAGUGCCAAACGCUGACAGCGGAGUCGAGCUUUCUUGAAGUUCUUGUGAUGUUAUGGGAAAUUAAACCGGGCUAUAAAAUCAAGGAAUCAGAGAAAAAUAAAUCCUUGUUAAAACACCUUGUGUGUGAAGCUGGUUGUGCCGUGCAACAAACAAGGCGGCCCUCAGAAUUACCGGCAGUAUUUUUCUGUCAUAAUAAACCCGUAUCUGCUCGAAUCUAGUGAUCAAAUCUUUACAGUGAUAUUAAAACGUCACUGUCAGUAAAUACUGAGUCAGGAGGAGGACGCAUAAAAUAUGCUCUGUUUAUUGUGAGGUUUAUCUCCUGGACCACAUAGUAAAAUGUUUAGUGUGUAGAAAUGGAUAAAUUUAGCGAUAUCAAGCAGUCAGAUUCCAGAUUAAAAACUCUCACUGGCUCAGCUCUCCCGUCGGUGAGGUGACGGUGGCUUUUGAGGACAAGAAACUCCUGUGGCUCAGUGUGAUUAAAACAUACAGGAAUCUAUUUGAGACACAUACAGAUUUGACUCUUUCAGUCUUAUUUUCUGCUUUUGAAUCAGAUCAGACUGAUCAAGUCGAGACACAAGAGGAGGAGGAAGGACAGAUGGAGCAACACAGACUUUAAAAAUCAAUGCAGCUGAUUGACUUGAAAGAAAACAAUACUUUCUGUUGAUGUCAAAAAUUACCUUCAAUCUGUGUCUGAUUGAGCCAAAACAGACCAUCUUCCUCUUAAUUUUGUUUUCGCAUCACGACGAUAGACACGCACUGCAGGUGUGGAAGUUUGAAGGAAACACUGUUUGAUCCCGCAGGUUGUGCAGUCAGUGUGUGUGUGAUAAUACUGCCUUAAAAUCUUUUACAGGUACCUGUGAUGGCGGUAGUGUUGCGAAUUAUGUGCAUGUUUACAUUCUGCAGUCAUGUGACGUACAGAUGGAAUCAACCUGCACAAAUUAAAGUUACAGUAUGAAGCUGUUUCCAAGUUUCUAAAGCUGCAGAUUCUCCCCCAUGUUUGAUAGGUAAAACCAUAGACUGCCUCCUGGCUGAGUGAAGCCACCGCCAGAACAGCACCCUCUGGUGACAGGCUGCAGUAUAGGUCAUAAAUCCCGCCUCCUCCAGCAAUUCCUAUGAAGUUGUGGACAAACUUUAGAAACUUAUUACACAGAAUAUACAUUUUUCUCCCUCCUGGUUACGAUGUUGACAUGUAGUUUCUGUCAGACUGGUUUGUGCUCAAGUCCUCUUUUUUCUUUACAGCUCCAUUUUUAAAAGUUAUUAGGGUGUUCAUGUUUUCUAUGAUUGACACUACAGCUUAUGGGUGUACGAAGAUUGUGUAGCUCACCCGGGGGAUACUCAGUUUGAGCCGAGCAUCAUCACAGCGACUCGCCCUCCAAAUGCGUAUAUUGUUACUGCGCAAGUGGAGAAAUGGAGAAAAUCUUGGAAAUACUGACAGCAAUUCGGCUUCAAAUUUAUUAGGGCUGCAGCUAUCGAUUAUUUUAGUAAUCGAGUACUCUAUCGAUUAAUCUGUCGAUUAAUCGAGUAAUCGGAUAAGAAAUGUUUUGCUCUCACUGUAAUACUUUGCAUUGAAUCACGUUUGCCUCAUUAAAAACCAUCAGUAACACACAAAACUGAAAUAGGCCAGGUCUUUCAAAUGAAUAUUUUUACUGCAUAAAUCAGGAACCAAAAGUUUUACAUUUUACCAUGUAGUUCACAUGAAACUACUGAAGGCAAGGUCUGCAGAUGGUCUUUUAAUUGCUAUGGUAAUGAUCUUUGCAGUUUUCACUAAACCAGUCACAACUAUUUCCAGGCUUUGGAUCUAAUUUUACUUGUUUAAUUAAUAGGCUGAAAUAAUAUAAUUCUUGGAUACUAACAUAAUUUGACAAGCAAAUGUACAUUUAUUCAAUAUAUAAAAGUGUUACAUUUUUAUUUACAUGUUGUUGUGUGUUGGUCAUUUUGCAGCCCUCUGCUGCUCAUCACACGCCUAGCAGGUGGUGUAUAGCAUUAUCACCAUGGAUACACGGAUGUUUGUGUGAUUUUUUUCAUCCACUGCCGCCCGGUUUGUGUCGUGUAGAUGUUGAUUAUGAAAACACUUCGCAAUAAUUUGGAAACGUGAAGGGGGAGCUGCUGCUGCCCGGUGUUUACGGUAAAUAGACGCAAACACCGACCAAGUGGACGCUUCGGUCUCCGAAAACGCCGAGACAAAUUUACAAACAGCCACUAUUUCAAACAACUGGGCUCAUAAUCGUGAUGUAAACACUUACUUUCUCGCUAGAAAAAAUAUUAUUGAAUGAAUUUAUAUAAUUUGUCCGGUAUGCAGUCGUUCUAUGUAGCUUGUGGUAGGACUAUUUAAAUUUUCCCGGCGCUGCGUCCGGCCGGCACGAAAUGCAUUCUGGGGUAUUUAGUAUGUAUGUGUGUAAACGCUCGGGCAGCCGCGGCAUACUCAAAUCAUCUUUGAGUAGUCAGUAGGCAGUAGCUACUGCUUGAGUAGGUAAGUAGAUAGUAGGCAGUAUGCCAUUUCGGACACAGCUUCUGUCUGUCCUCGUUUCCCUCCAUGAUUGAACCAAACGCGCGGCAGCGGAAGGAGCGGAAAGAGCACGCUUCUGCGCAACAGAAAUAACCGUCCGUGUCAAACACCGUGCGCUGCACAUGGUUCCGGAUUUAAACGAUUCCUCGAGGCAUAUAAUUUGCCUCGAGGAAUUUUAUUAAUCGAGUUACUCGAGUUACUCGAGUAAUCGUUUCAGCCCUAAAAUUUAUACUAUGGACAACUUAGUAUAUACAGUUUAUGAAACAGGAUUUUUAUUAUUUUUUUUUUUUUUGGCUUUUCAACUAAAUUUCUGUCCAUGAUUAAACAGUAGAAAUUGAAUAUCUAGGUAUCAUAGAUUAUUAAGGGUUGAGGGUGAACUGGUUCAUCUUGGUCUGUGUGAACUGUCCAACCAACGCUAUCCGGUCAGAUGACUAUAAUGUUUACAAUAUAUUGUUUCGAACAGUAUUGGUGGCCACCCACUAAAUACAAAAACUGUACUUGUGUGUUUGUUACUGGUUCGAGCAAAGGUAGAAAAUAAUGAUGCAAGUCCCUCCAUGGAAGAGGACCUGCUCCUUAGUGUCUUUUAUAGUCAGAUAAUUAGUAAUGAAUAAUAUAUUCCAAGUCUGUUAUGCUAAAUGGUGCAAAGUGCAAAAUACUGUGUCUUUUAGGAGAUAAAAAGAAAUAUUUGAAGCUUUUUACUGCGUAGAGUAAGAUCUUAUCCACUUCCCAUUUUCCCAUAGCUGAAAAAAAAAACCUUUGUGUGUAAAAUAUUAUCUUUUAAAAGUUGAAUUAUUCACAAGAAAUGAGGCUAAUGUUAUCAGAACCCCCCUAAAAUCCUUUGCUUUUUUAAGAGCAUUCAUAAAACAGGAUAUUUCAUAUGUCAUUUCUUAAACGUGGUCUUUAUUUGUCUCUGAUAGUGCUGCUAUAUUUUUCUUAAUGCGUUCUCUAUAAAUAGAGCCGUGGUUGGGAAAUUACCACCACUGCUGAGGGGGGAAUAAAAGUUUAAGACCGGGAUAAUCUUUCUUUUUUCCCGCUUUAAUAAAUAUCUGCUGUGCUAAUAUUUCAAUUUAUAAUCACUGUGAUACAGUAGCCAAAGAAACAUGUAUUUUUUCAGAGACUAGAUCCAAAACAGUGACAGAUGUGGAACUAAUAUUGAAUUUCCCUCCAAGCACCCAAGCUUUAUGAUUACACAGAACAGCAGGAAAAACACAGAGGCCUACAAAAACCAGCUUUAGUCACACAUAAACCUCUUUUGGGUGAUGUUCCACCUAAAACAAGAUUAAGAGUCUGUUGUAUUUGAUGGAUAAUUUCAUUACAAGUGAUUAGAGAUUUGAGACAUCCAAACCAGCGGUGGUCGAAAUGAGUCUCAGCGUCGAUACAGGAUGCUAAAGCGACUCAAAACCAAGAGUUUGGUUUGUGGUUGUUACAUGAGUUAGAUUGAAACUAAAGUUGAAUAAAUCUCAAUCAUGAGGGAUCAAAAACCAAACAAAAGAGCACUGAUCCAAGAAAAGAAACAUCAUGUAAAAUAGGAGACGGACAGACGUUUGAUGUUUUUGAAGGAAAUUAGAAGUGAAGUCUUCAGCAAACACUUCAGUCAAAAACCAAAACAUGACUGAGCCUAUCCCGCCAUCUGCCACGUCUUAUUCCCAAAAACGCUCCAUCAUUUUAUUCCGUGUUUGGGAAGAGAAGACAUAUAUGCGUCUCUGCUUUUACAGAGAGGCAACACAGAGACGUUUGUCAGCAUCAACAGGUUUUAAACGGCUUUUAUAACUCUCCUUUUUCAUCUCUCAAACACUCCGAGGGCUUUACGCUAUUCACCUCAUGAGAGCACAUUUUUGAAGCAAUACGUUUACUUAUUGUCCAAGGACACAUCUUCAUGCCAUCCGAAGGAGCUGGAUAUUGAACUGCACAGCCUCUAAUAAUAAAUAAUAACUCCCCCUACCUUUUGAGCUGCUCCUGCUUGUACAAUAUCACCAUGUUUGUGACUCUAAAGCUCCUUUCUGCUUAAAACUGUAGCAAACUGAGAUGCACAAAUACCUGAAUUCAUGAUUUAUUAGUGUACUCGGCAAUCUGUGAAUUGUGUAGCAACAUAUGGGCUUUCUGAUAGCAAAGUUAAGGGCUGAAAAUGUUCAAAAUACUGUAAGCACUCGCAUGGAUGUCGGUGUUUGUGUCUGACUUUCUCAAAAUCAGCCAGACCGUUAGAUACAUUUGUAAAUCAUCUGCUGCAGUGGAAACCCUCAAAUCUGUUCUGGUUUUCUGGAUGGUUUUUCAAUAAAGGGUUUAAGUGGAUCAGGCGCCCCCUGUUGGUUCUGCACUGACUAUCAACAGUCUUGAUACAACCCCACUUUAAAACUUUACCUGGUUACCACUGGUAACAGACUGAAAUUAACAUGAAUGCAUUUUCAAGCAAACUUACGACAGGAGCAUGAGGGCCACAUUGAGAUAAAAUUUUAGACCUCAGAAUUACUUACGAGAAUAAAGUCGUUAAGUAAACAAAGUCUUAAAGCUGCUUUUGUGGAGGAGGAAAUAGCUAAACUGGUCAACUGCAGAGUUAUCAGUGGGUGCAGCAGUGGGCCAUUUGGAGGGUUUUUGUUGUUUCUCAAGAAACAAUCCAACUGAUGAUCAAUAUUUGUGAUUCAGAGGGAGUCGAGCUCUGACAAACACCAUUGUGAUGCCGGCACAACCUACACCUGCAGAGGCACCAACACCUUAUGGCAUAUAGAUUCAUACGAUCAACUAAAGCAAUAUUAUAUUGCUAAAAACGGCUGCAUUGAGGGAUUUAGCCUCUGCACGGCCAUUUCCAGCCAUUUCACCCUCCCCAAAAACAGCGAUUCCCUACAAGUCCGCUUUUUUUUCUGUGGAAAAGAUGAAUUUCUUGCAUAUGUCCUGAUACUUAUGACAAUGUGAAACUGAAACGCCAAAGGAUUUAGUAUCUCCUUGUUUGUGAAACCUAGCUACUGAAGUUCAAUUCAUCUAAAUGCUCCACAGCGCUCAUUUAAACAACUUAACAAGUUAGAAUAGCUGUUAGCUACAACUGUAUUCUCAUAAGUAAUUACUUAAAUCCUACUUCAUUCUCGUAAGUAAUUCAGAGGUCUAAAAUUUUGUCAUUUCUUAAUGUGGCCCUAAUGCUCUGUCGUACAAACUAACCCACGUAUAAAAAAAUUAAUUUUGUUACUUUUAAAUGUCUGAAAAUAAUCGAUAGCAUCCCUUUUUAUCCUUCUGCCAUAGCAAAUAUUUAUAAUAGUGUAUCAUGUAACAGUUUAGGGUGAACCCUGACUUAUACAUGUACACAACAAGAGUUAUGAAGACAAGUGGUGCCAAAAUAAGAGAGUCCUAUACAGGAGUUUUGGAUUUUCUUUCCUUGAACACUCAAAUGUUUCUUAUAAAUUUUCAUUUUUGUUAUCUUCAUUUUGCUAGAAAACAGUGUAAACCUUUAACAUUAUAAAUUUCUGAUGGAUCCUGUUAACAAAGCGCAGACUUCAGCCAUAGAUGUAUUAGGAGAAUUAGAUUUUGAGUUCCGAAAACCUGCCAAAUAUAAUCCAAUAUUAGUCGCUUAACCUCGCACACACAUGCACAGAUUUGUUCUUUUGCUAAUUUCUUUUAAUGAAUGAACAAAAAGAUAGAUUUUUAGGUCACUGUGCACCAUGUGAAAAGGUUCAAGGAUCACUAACCCCUGCUCGUUCAGAAAAAUAAUCUCCAUUUACUCCGUUUUUGAGCUAAAAUGUAAACUCUCAGCGUCUCCAUAAAUGUUGUGAGAAUCAGAUUCUUAGAGUAAUGUCACACUCUGCUGUCCUCUCAGCCAGAGAUGGUAGAGUUUAGUCUUAUGAUUCUUGUCCUGGCUCACAAUAAUAAUCUCCUCUGAGGCCGUGAUUCGACUCGAGACCAGACAUAACAGGGAAAAAGCCCAAAUCGAUGGCUAAUGAAUACCAAUCAAUCACCGGAGGGGAAGGUGGGAAAAUGUGGCAACCGAGAGCGCUCUCCGGGUCUCUGGCAUCUAUUUGAUGAAUGCUUUGUCUCACAGUGCAUGCUGACCGGGACUCCCAUAAUGCAUUGCAGAACACUGUCUGGAGACUUAAUUUUCUUCCAGCUCAAUCCCCCAAACCCUCUCCAUCCUCACGUAGCAUUGCGUGAUGAUGCCUCCCGGCUGACCGAGGCAGUAAUGUGACCGUUAAUAGUGUUGCCAUGGUGAUUAAUCACAAACCCUGGCAGAGUCAAACCUCUCGGUGCCAACUCAAACAAAAGAUUGUAGAUUUUUAUGCCCUUGGUUUGACUCGCAAUUACCUACAGCUUGUGCAAUGACACAAUCAUUGUGCAAUUCACAUCAUCAUAAAUCUGUUUUCAUUCAGGCCACAUAGAUCCAGACUCUCCUCUUCAGAUAUUUCAUGUCUCACUAGAGCCGAUAUGGAUUUUUUGGGGCCGAUUUUUAGGGGGGAAAAAAAUCUGAUUACUGAUUAAUCGGCCGAUUUUUUACAUUUUUAUGAAGUUAUAAAAAAUGUAUAUAUACUGUAGAUAUCUACAGUGUACUGUUUACUGUAGAUAUACUGUAGGCUACUGCUCUUCAUGCCGACAGGAAGACCAACUGAUCAAACUCUGACCAGAAAAGCGUUUUCAACUACCCCCCCUUACCGCAGCCGCCGAUCGGUGCCUCUGCGUCUAAACUCACGUUACUCAUUUCUGGUCUGGUCUCAUCUGGAGACAUGCAGCUGCCUCAGUAAGAGAAGUAGCUCGAUCACGUUAUGUGUACUGUUGUUUAUUCUACCGUUACUGGCUCGGCUAACAGUGUAGCAAGGCUAAUAGCAGGUGGCUAACUCUAACUUUAGCUUGCAUAUUACACGGUGCUUCACCGUUAACUCGGCGUGACGAGACCAGCACAGCGGGGAACAUGCUUAAGUGGGUUGAACUUAUUGUGUAUUUCACAAACUGGUUUAUUUACCGUUGAGGUGGACCACUCUUCUCCGUGCGUCCCUGAGCUGCCUGCUUCAGAUCCGUCACUCUGCUGUGCUGUGAGGUAGUUAUUGGAUGAAGAUUGGCAUGAGGUCGCUGCGCCAUCUACAGGAUAAGUCGGGGAACUUUUCAAAUGGCGGAACAUUUUAGAAGUGAAACCGAAUCUUAUUCUCCGCAUUUUAUUUCUGUAAUAUUGGCGAAAAUUGUCGAGUUUUGGCCGAUUACCGAUUAUUCUCAAACGGGCUAAAAUUGGCCGAUUUAGACGGCUCGCCGAUAAAUCGGUCAGGCCUUAUGUCGCACUAUGACAGUAAUGUACCGUAUUUUUCGCACUAUAAGGCGCACCUUCAAUGAACGCAUCUAUUCGCGUCUAUUUCCAUACAUAAGGCGCACUGGAUUAUAAAGCGCAUUAAGCCAAACAAAACAGUUCGAUAAGUCAAACUUUAUGGUAACCCUUUCUUUUACGGUACACUUAUUACCAGGUAAUUAACAGGUAAUUACCUAGUAACAACAUGAAAUUAUCUGCAAUUACAUGAUAACUACUAAGUCAAUACUGUCUAGCUACCAGGUAGGUAACCUUCCAUCAUCAUUCAAAUUUGAAGCUGAAUUGCAGUGGUGAUUCCAGGAUUUUCUCAGCUUCCUGGAACCACCACUUGCGCAGUAGCAUUGUACGCAUUCGGCGGGUGAGUCGCUGUGAUAAUGCUCGGCUCAAACAGCGUAUCGCUACGCAAUCUUUGCACGCCCAUAGGCUGUAUCAAGUGUCCAUCAUAGAAAAUAAGAACCCCAAAUAGCUUUUGAAAAUGGAGCUGUACAAAAUAAAGAAAAACCAGACAGUAUUGACUUAGUAGUUAUCAUGUAAUUACCAGAUAAUUUCAUGUUGUUACUAUGUAAUUAUCUGUUAAUUACCUGGUAAUACGUGUACCGUAAAAGAAAGGGUUACUAGCUUUAUUUAACUCAUUCAAUAACUCCGUGAGGCUACGGUAGCUGCCGUGCUCCGACGAGCCAAAAUGAUUUCAAGUGCGCCUUAUAGUGUGAAAAAUACAGUAGGUGAAAUUUCCCUCUUGAUGGAAAUGAUAUGAAUAUCUGAUGGCAGCAGAACCAAUAUUUUGUUAUUUUCUUAAAUAAAUGCAUCUGGAGUUUAAGUUUAUUUCUGAUGCAAACUCUGUGAAUUUUGUGUAAAAGCAGCUGAAGGUUUCGGUGUUUGGACUCCACAGCCUCGGCUCCUUUUUUUUUCUUCAUUCAGAUCAGAGGACAAACAUUUCAGAGAUGCUGCCUCUAAACUUCACUUCAGACAACCGUUAUCAAUAACGGCAGCACUUACUGUCAAAACAAGCUUCCUGGACUUAUUUUGGGCGCUCACGGGAAAUCUGUUUAAAGUAUCUUUAGAGAAAAAUUAAGUUUUAGCCUCGAGCACUUAAAAUGGCCGAAUAUAGAAUUAUUGAAAUUGUGAGCAUAGAUCUUAGCGAGUGGUCUUUAUUGCCUUCCCUCGGCUUCUCAGAGGCCACAACAAGUGCACGCAAGCAAAGCCCGGAUUAGUGGGUAAUGGCUGGCAUCAAUAUGACUGUAAUGUCAUUUGGUGAUGCAUCCUGGUCGUUACCAGGCCGGCAAAGAGUGGUCCCCAGCCCGCUGUAAUGACCGGCAUGUCAGGAAAACAAAUGUUAUUACGCAGCAGUAUUAAAUAUAGCUGUUAUUUCUGCGACAGAAGUGGGAGAAGAGAGCAGUCAGCUGAUUUCUAAUGCGUUUCCCUUCAGUCAGAUGAAAACAUACUGCUUACUGUGUGUCGGCGCAGAGAUAUUUCACUCACGUAAGAGAAGCAGUCGCUUUCUUUUGGAGUUUAUUGGAGCAGGACAGAUUCAUUUUUUUUAGCUGUCAUGGAAAUGCGGCUGGAUCUGAUCCUUUUCUUGUAUUUGUAUUUUUUAAAAUCUCAAUAGCGUGUGCGUGGCAAAUCCAAACAAAAAGCAGCCAACAAAACAAGAAUAAAGACGUGACAUUAUUAGCUCCAGCUUUGUGUCUGCGUCCGGGGCGGCAUCUGCAGAUCUCAGAGCGCGGCGUGCACUUAUUUUUAUUUAAGCAGAAAGUAUCUGCAACAAGAGUAAGGAGAGUCGUUUUAAGUACUGCGGAAAAGCAUAAUAAGCUGGUAUUAGAAUUUAUUAUACACAAGGGUGUAAUGUUUUAUAAUGGUGCUUGAACUGCAAAUUAGCCUCUCUGUUUUGGCUCUUUCUAAUUUCACCCUUUUUACUGUGACUAAUAAUGAAAUCGGCUGUUUUUAUGUUUGUAAGAAAUAAAAGUCUAGCCGGCACGUCUGGAGCCAAAACAAGAAGGCAUACGUUCUGAAAUAGCUGAUAACAAAAGGAUUUUAUGAUUAGAGAAUAAUAUGCAGGCGGAGAAAUAGAGUGCACCUUGUAAUUUGAACAUAAUCCAUGAGUUGUUUGUGUUUGUUUAAGAGCCAAAAGAAAGAGGGGGUGAAAAAAAAGCACAACACAUCACACUGAGGAGGAAAUGAAUUAACAUAAAGCUGAAAUCUAUAAACAGAUACAGGCGUGUGUUGUUCUUGUUCCCCAAAGUUUCUCUGGAUAAAUUUGCUGAAAAGACAGCGUAUCAUUUGUAUAGACAUUCAUUUGCACAGUUUUACAGUGCGUAGCGAUGCACAUACGGCACCGCGGCAUAACAGGGCAUCACCUAAUGAGAAUGGGAGGGAGGGGAAAAAAACGCAGGAGCUGCAUCCAAAGGAAAUAAUGAGACAGCUAGGGAUUGUUGGGGGAAGUCAGCCGACCGCUGUGGUCUGUAUCUCGCCAUCAUUUCAUCAUAUGCACCAAAGACUCUGGUGUAUUCUCAUUAUUGCGCCCUUGUCCUGUGUGGAUUUCACGUUCUGCCAUAAAAUGAUGAUACAGUAAAUACUGUUUAUAUUCAAAUGCAACUUCAGCCCGAACUAUUGUGGCCGCGCAAACGAAGGAAAGUUUGAGGAACGGCACAAAAAUUCAGUGAUUCAUUCCUCAUAAAAAGGUUUUUAUACUUUAGACGGAAGAGGUUAUGACAGCGCAAUAUUUUAUUCAAAUAACUCAAUAUUCAUAGAUUCCGUUUUCUGUAUUUCUGGACUAAUGAGGCUUUUAUUUGUCUCUUGUUGUUGUGAGUUGGUGGAGCACUCAGAAGCCCUCAGAAGGUCACGCCAUGCCGCUGCUCGCUGCUGUCCUUCAUUAUGUUUGCCGCUUUUACCGCUUUUUAAAAACUUGUUAUUAAAAUGGACAUCAUCUCUCUGAGAGCACUGGAGGAUUUAGUGUAAUGAGGGAAAUUGGCCUGCAGUGUCCUCCAGCUCAACUCAUCCUCCAUCAGUGCUGCUCGAGGUGUCUGCCUCUCUGCGUAAUGAGAAAUUUAGCAGCUGAGCAGGCGCUACGUCUCAAUCUGCCCAUCUCUGCACGGCGUAUAUUAUGUCAAUACGACUGUUGAAACAGGUGGAGGAACACGUCUUUUCCCAUGUUGCAUGUGCAUGAAAUACUGGAGUCGUGUGCUGCAGCCCAGAUGAAAAACGCCGGAGGAAAGAUCUUUAAAACUCGAAUCAAUCAAACGCGUUGAUUUAAAAAAACGCACAAACUGUUAUUUACAGCCUAUAAAUAGCAGGUGUAGGCGGACAGAUGGUCACAUGUGGGAGUUCUCUGGUGGAUCUUAUAACCAGCUGGAUGUUGAAAGUUUUUCUCACUUGUGGAGUGAAGGGCAAACGUGUCUUUGUGUCUUCAUGGUGUACUUUCACACCUGAAAUAAACAGCUUUAUUAGCACAAAUUGGACUUAAUGAAAAACAAACACGAGAAAAGAAAACAGUAGAAACAGUUUGUGAAUGUUUUUCUAGAAUAAAGUAGGAAAGAAGCGACACGAUAUUAAAAAGAUCAUGUUAAUGAAACAACAUAUUAUGACAGUCUAUAAAAGGUUAUCUAUUAAAACACCUUACCUGAAUUUCCACUGCAUCCGGAUGGGCGUCCGUCAAUUCCUAACGGAUUAUAGACAGCGGGAAUCUAGAGAACUCACAGGAACCCGCAGAUUCACGUGCAAUCGCGCAAUAACAAGUUGUCUCUAUAAAGACAGCCACAAAACCAUAUUAGCAGUAGAUUGUGUCCUUCUAGAGGAGGAAAUCCACUGUUACACUUAGGUGACCAUGGAUGUCACCCCCAUGACAUCCAUGGUGUCAUCUGGGUGACUAAUGACAUCUUUUAUUUUGAAAAGAAGCUGGAUGUUUUAUUUUGUGUCUGUGCCCGACUUUCUUUCCAGCACGGGUUAAUCUGUGCUGAAUUUAUCCAACAUGCUCCAGCGUCCGGAAAAAAUAGAACUCUUGCGAUCAGCUGCAGCAAUCCACAGCGGGACGGAAAGAAUUCGGUAGAAAUUAACAUAUUAACUUGAAUGGUUUCGAUCAGCUGCGAUCAGCGGAUACGGCCUUUUCCUAGCCGUUCCGGAUGCGGUGGAAACUGGGGGUAACUCUAAUAAAAACACAUUAAUCUUAUCCCAAUAAGUUAUGUAUGCAAAUUCAUUUCCAGCCAUAAGGGCCUGUGUCCACUAGCAGCAAAUUUACAUUGUGCCCAUUUUCUGCACAAGACAAAUGCAGCUAAGUCAGCGAAAAACAAGAACUCACAGCGCUCUCGUGUGGAAACUAUUCAACUUUUGAACACUGUCAUGCUCCUCAUUUUUACAUCUUCAUUACUAACCAAUCACUGUCAAAAAGGGGGCGGGGCUUCUGGUGCCAAUAGUUGAAGUCAAACUGAUGAGAAGCUAACCACACUUCCUUUUUGAAGAGUAAAUCUUCCAGGUCUGAGUUACAGAGCAUUUUAAAAACAGACAAAUCAAUCAAAAAAAAGGACCACAGGAUAUUUUUAAUAACCUUACAUUGCUGAGAAGUGCUGCCAGUGCAAAAACUACUGGACACAGGCCCUUAAUAGGUCAUGCACAAGUAUAUCAGCCUAAAUGUAAAUGCUAAUAUGAUAAGCACUGAGUAUUUCACAGUUACCCAUCAUUUCCAAAUGGAAUGUACUCUGUCAAACCCAGAACUGAAUCAUUUUUCAUCCUAAAGCCGACCCUGCCGUUUUAUUUCCAGGGUUUUAAUCAGGUUAGCUUAAUAGAAUAAUAGCAUCCAUUGCCAAGCAGAUGAGAUGGAAUUGCUGUACUCCCUUUCUGUAUUGGUGCAAUUAUCUCUGAACUUGGUGCAGGCAGAAAAAAAAAGCUUUUUAAACACUGUUCCAACUUUUUCUUCCAAUGCCCCCCAUGGAAAACUGGUUCCCUUAGCAACUGCCGAUGUUACGGGUCGUCCCUGACCACCUCCCUGCUUCAGACACACAGAUGCCUCUCCUAUCCCCAGUUAACAGCCGUUAUAUCCACGCACAGACACAGGGUUGGUGUCAACGUUUGUAUCCAAUCAUCUGGGUCUGAAUCUAGGUUAACUUAAAAUCAAUGCCAACCGUACUCCUUUAUUAAUGUACCUCCGAAUUUACAUAAAAUCAUAAGACAUUAAUCAUAAUGAAACACGUGCUCCCGAAAGUCCCACACCUCUCCAAAGUAAUCCAUCCUCAUUUGAGUUUUUCCACUUAAUAAAGAUACAAGGUGAUCACAGUGGGAGGUAUUUCGCACGGUGACAUCUUGAAUACUUCGUUUGUGGCGUUUGCAGCGACUCAAGGCUGAUUUACCCGCAUUUCUUAACUGUUUUCUCUCUGAGGUGGAAAGUCAGGGUCUGCUGUGCCGAAGGAAGAGGCUUCAAAAGAGGAAGAAAUAAGAAAGAGAAAAAAAGAAAAGAUGCAUCAUUAAGAUUUCUCUUUGCUGUCCUUGCAGCUAAUUACAUACAGUGGGAAACCUCUGAGGAGGAUGAGGUGUUGCUUCAUGUCAAAAACCUCGGUGGUCGUUUUUCUCCUCGCUCUUUGUUGAUGAUGUGGAUAAUGAGCCACCUGUCUUACAGGAGUCCUGCAAUAUUUCACUCAGUAUUUCAUCUGCCAGAGCGGGGAGAAUAAAAUGCUCGCUGCAGUGUGAAAGAACAGAAAAGAGCGGCUGAUCCUUGCCUCAGUCGCUUCACCUGCACAGCACAUUUCUAUCUUCCUUUUUGCAAAUUGUCUGCAGCGUAUUUUUCUUAUCUCCAGACUUUCUCGUAAAGAACCGAAGCUGUAAUCUGAGACGUUUUUCAAUUAUAAACCAUUAUCCUAUGUGUCUGCUUGGUUGAGUUUUAUUUAAGACAGUAACACAGCACAUGCGUUUCCUUGUCUUUAUGCUCCGCUGUGUCAGUCACACUCAACCUUUCGUCUUCUCAUUACUUGGCUGGUUAAUGACAUUUCGCCCCAUAGCAACCAAAGGUAAAAGAAAUGAGCAAGUAUUGGCUCAAGUGCGCUAUUUAAAGCAGGGUAUACACCAGGCCUCCCAGCUGUUACACUCAAUUGAUCACCUACUUAAAGUUAAUGUGCAGAAUCUACAUGCUACACGGGAAACACAAUACAGCUAAUUAAACAAAGGAGAUAAACAGUUAAAGAAAAAUCAAGCUUAGUGUUGUUAAAGAACCACAUAAAGAGUCAUGAAUAAUUAAUGAAUGUUUUGAAGUUUAAUUUAUAAGACACACGGUGUACAAUUGGUCCAAACCGGCUGAUUUUUAUACCCAAGUGAGCAGCUGUGAGAGACAGGAGAGAGGAGUGCCUGAGGAUUUGGUGAAAGAUAAGUAAGAUGGUGCAAGUCCAUGCAAGACCUUAGCAGCUAAAAGAGGGACCUUAAAAACAGCUGUGAUGUGCACAAAACAGUGAAGAGAGGCCAAUAAUUUAAAUUCUAUUUAUUUAUUUAUUCGCUUUUUUGUUAAGAUUCUGACUGCAGUUCUACUUCACUGUCGUAUAACUAAGAAGAUGAGAGAAAAUGAAAACACAAAUACAUGGAUUUAGGUUUCUAAAUACUUUAUUGACCAAAAUAUGCAUUUUUUAUUCACUACAUGUUGAUCAAUAUUUAAAGGGAUAUUCCUGCAUAAAAUUAAUUUAGGGUCAAACACACCACAACACCAAGUUAGACACCCCCUCUAGAGAUGAAUGCUGCCGACCGCUUGCUUCUCUAGUUAUACCAAUUUUAGUAACGACCGCAUGAUAGCAAUACACAGCGGUCCAUGGAACUAUACACAAACCUCAACCAAAACGCCACUCUAUAGCCACAAAUAAUGUUCAGAACAUCACCUAACUUCAUCAACAGGACAUAUAGGGUCAUAUUUUUGACUUCGCCUUAUUUCUUUAGCAAAAGACUAAACACAACUCACCUACUCUCUUCCAGCAGCCGCUUGUUUGUAGUGAGACCUCAGGCCAGUCUAUUGCAGACUGCAGUGGGGUGACGCAGCUCAAGGAAGAUUAUUUAUGAUCAUUUCUUCAUGGAAAUGCAAUCAGACCGAGGCGCUAAGGCAUCUGUUGUGCAAAAUGAUUAAUAUGAUGAUUAUUACUUCAAGGAAAUGAUGAAGUAAUGAUCAUAAAUGUUCUGUCUUGAACUGCGUCACCCCGCAGCAGUCUGUGAUGGACUGGCCAGAGGUCUUGCUUCAAACAAGCGGCUGCUGGAAGAGAGUAGGUGAGUUGUGUUUAGUCUCUUUGCUAAAGAAAUUAGGCAAAGCUAAAAAGAUGUUUGGUGGCUGGUGCUGUGGCUGGGACCCUAUAUGUCCUGUUGAUGGAGUUAGGUGCUGUUCUGAGCAUUAUUUGUGGCCGCUGUGUAUUGCUAUCCUGCGCUCGUGACUAAAGUUGGUAUAACUAGAGAAGCAAGCGGUCGGCAACAUUCAUCUCUAUGACAAUGGUGGACAGAAGCCAACUGUCACUCACCGCUUCAGUGUCAGAGGGUUUAAAGAUGAAGAGACAAGGCGACCAGAGUGAUGUAGGACAAAAGAAGGACCACUUAUUUGACAACUGAGGCAGCAUCCUGAUGCACUUUCAUAGUAAAGUUGUUGUUGCAAAUGCUGCAGAGACAUAAAUCAACUGUCAAACUCAAAAAAUUCAGUGUCACUUGAUGUAAUGUCUCAGACAGUGAGUGUGAUACCUGAAAGAUGGAAGAAAAGCACAGCAAUGACCAGACCUGCUAUUCACCCGAUGGAAUGAAGGUUAUUAUGGUAUUAAAGCACAGAUAACAUACUGUAAGUGCUUCAUUUAGACAUGUGACCAUAUACAGGGUCUACAAAACUUAAAAAUUUAAGUUACAGUGGCACAAGAGUUUUUAGGAUUCAUCCUCUGGUGAUGAUGAAUGGAUGUGCCAAUUUACAUGCCAAUCCAUCCAAUGACUUUUGAGAUUCUUGCAGAUAGUUACGAACAACUCAGCACAUGCAUGAUUUUCCAGUUGUAUUGCCAUUUUGCCACAGCGAACUGUCAUGCAUGAGAAUUUCCUUCAGUGCAGCACAGUUUAAUAACCAAAAAGCCCCUGUUGUCAUGCACACAUAUUCCUCUUCCAGCCCUCACAGUAGAAGUGUGUAUUCGGGACUGAAAGCACUGGCCCCUGCUAUGCGAAAUGCAAAUGUGAACUUUGCAGAGACCAACUUUGAUGCGGGGUCUCCUUGGUUAGCGGAGAAAGAACAAAAGGACCCGCUGAAGUGCCUCCGUGUCUGAUGAAGUGCCUAUUUAUGGUUUGGGUGGGUGGAUAACAAGAAUGUUGUGGCGACUGUACCAGCAGAUGACACAAAGGUGGUCAUGCUGACUCUUUGGGUCGGUGCGUUUCUCUGUGAGUGUGGCGGAGACGUCUCUGAUUUUCUUAAAGCAAGAAAAGUUGAGACCUACGAGCGAAGCAAAACCAGGAGAUAGGAUGUGGAGGUUGAUGGGCUGCUGAGUUUAUUGAAUGCAUACUAUGACUAAAACUGGACCUGUAAACAUAUUAGGGCUGAAACAAUUCGGGCCAAAAAUGAAAGCCUGAUUUUCUUCUCCGAAACGCCAUGUUUGUUGAGCGCUUCCACAGGAAGGGGGAGCCUACGGUGGCCUGGAGGCGAGAGACAUGAUCGAGAGUGUUAUGUCCUGAUAGGAUAGGGGUGUUCAGGACUAACAAAAAUAGCAAUCAAAAAAAAAAAACAGGUAAGAAUGGAAAUAAAAAGAGAGUGGCAAGGAUAUGCAAUAACUCAAAUAUUUUAAUAAUGAAAUUCAGGUCAGCACCGCUACAAAAGUUUAUUGAAUGCAUUCAGUGACUAUGACUAAAACUGGACUUGUAAACAUAUUAGGGCUGAAACGAUUUGGGCCAAAAUUGAAAGCCUGAUUUUCUUCUCUGAAAACUCGUUUUUGGAUUUCAGUUUCGAUUUUUUAUUCAGUGACAACUUCACCAAACUUCACUUUAAUAAGUUUUUUUUGACAUCUCUCAAAACGAAACCACUGAAAUUGAUGUACUGCAUAUGCCAAGCCAGUAAGUGGCGCUGUAACGCUGCCAAGGAAAUGCACAAAAGACAGAAGAAGAGUACAGAGCGUUUUUGCCGGACACACGGAGGCGCCAUAAAAGAGUCACAAAGUUGUUAAGAGAGAUGCAGAGAGGCAUCCACGCAGAGAUGAAAUGGACGUCGUUUACAGAUUUAUGCACUCUCCGACCCGUUUUCAGUCACCUGAAACACCGUUCCCGUGUAAAUAGGACAAAAAAAAAUGUAUUUACUCCCAGAUUUGUUUCCGUGUCGAUGGGUUGAUACCGCCUUCAGACAGACUUUGCAGCGGGGAGUGGUUUGCCCAUCUAAAAACUCACCAGCAUGAGACAGCAUUUGUUUUAUUGCUUUUUAUUAUUUUUUUAAAACAACUAUUUAUUGUUGUUUUAUGUUUCAUGUUAUUAUGUACAGCACUUUGUGUCAGCUUUGGUUGUAUUUAAAGCGCUCCAUAAAUAAAGUUGAGUUGAGUUCAUCCGAAACUGUGAAGUCGAACCAAUUCCACAUGACUGACUUGCUCUCGCCCUUUUUAGCCACGAAAUUAUCGCCUUCUUUUGCAAACGUCUUGUUUGUUUACACUGGUGUGAGCGCCCUGGCAGGAAGGGAGAACCUAUGGUAGCCUGGAGGCGUGAGACAUGAUUGAGAGGAAAAUCGAUUUUGAUGAUUUAAAUUUUUUUAAACAUCACCAUAAUUAAAUAAUCUGAGUAUGAAUUAAAAUAGAUCAAUUAUGCAGCCCUAAAGCAUAGAAACACGCCGAGGGGGCUGUUUGGUGUUGCAGUGCUCGUCUAUUUGUUAAGUUACUCUUAAUGAAGCGUCUCAUGAUUCACAGAUUCCAACAGAUGCUGAGUGACGCACAUUACUGUGUAACCUUCUGCAUUAUUUCACACUCUGAAGCAUUAUCUCUGGAGACAGCUGUUCAGAUCACACGACUCCCUGUCUGUGCGUGAGUGAUGAACUCAUCUAUCAUGAUUGAUCAAGGUCCCAGGUUCACAUUCACAAUGAGCCCUCUGGUUUUGAGAUGAUGGGAUGGAGGAGAAGCCAACCUCAAAGUAUUAUUUUAUUUUUUUUGACAUUUUCUCUUGAAAGCCCCUUCAGAAAAUAAACUUUUUCUUUUUUUUUGUUACCGUCUGCACUGCUUCAAACUGUUGUUUCUCAGGACCGUGAAGCUCCUCUGGAAAUUGGCGUGGAUUUAAUGGAUGGCUGCCUCGCCAGUGCUUUAUUAAUGUAGCGUUUAAUACGAAUCCCCGUCCAGUUUUGGUCUUCUGUUCGUCUAUCCCUCUAGAAGCCUCAGCUCUCAUACUGAAAUGAAGAUUGCAUAAUUAACCAGCUUUUUGAAACACAAGAGAGCAGUUUAAUGGAAAUUUAAACAGACACAAUGCUCAAAUAUGCCAGACAUAGCAUCUUACGUAACGCGGUAUUUCAUGUAUCUCUAUUCUGUUUGACUGCUCAGAUUCAUUCGUUUUGUUGCUUGAGUGCAUCUUAUUUGAGUUUUCUGCCUCUUUUGAGCCGAGGGGGAUGUUUUACUUCUGAUAGUUUUGGCCCAGUUAGUCUUAAUGGGGUCAAGAGCAUUUUUUAUUUAUAUCCCAAAAUGCCAUGAAGUUUGUCGGAUAAACUAAACUGUUAAGAUGCAAACCCUUGCUUCUUCUAUCCGGGGACAAUUUAAUAGGGCAAUGAUUGUACCGCUCCGGGGGUUAGAGGGAAAAAAUUCUGGGAAAAAAGCGGAAAAAUAACGCCAUAGGUGUUUAUGUGCAAAUGUGUUUGAAAAGAGGUUAAAAGAUAAAGUCGAACGCCAUCUGUUCCUUUAAAAAUACGCUCUUUAUAACAGCCUGCGAUGCAAAGCAGAUUCAUUAGAUGAAGUUCAUUGUGGUUGAUUGUCACAGCUGCGCAGUGAAAGAUGGGUCAAUAACUAGUGUUGCGCGCUGCCAUGUUUAUUGCCAUGUUGAAGAUCCAUCUUCAUCUGGCGAGAACAGACUGUAUCGUGCAUUUGCAUGAUGAGACAAUGGAGCCGCAUUAAAGGUGUCAUCCGCGUCUUCUCCUUAAAUAAUGGUGAUGCGAUCAUGUGCGGUGAUGUGGUGCGCGUUAUGAAACAAUAGCUCACUGGAUGGACUGUAGGUGUCACAAAGUGUGAGGAGGUUCCAAGUAGAGGCGAGCGAUGGCUGUCGUUUAAGCAGUUGGCUCUGAUAUUGGAGGCUGUUGUUGUUAAUUAAGCAUGUUUUUAAAGGUGGAACAGUGAUAAAGUAAUUAAGUUAUACAUGUGGAUGAGAUUUUCUGUCAGAAAACACCACCCACACAGGUACAGAAAAGAUUAGCAGAUAAAUAAGGGAUGUCUUCUUUGUCUACAAGGAGCCCCACAAUUGACACAAGCCAAGUUUCUCACAUAAAGACAAUGUUAUAUGUUCAGGUGAAGUAUUACAGAGACUCACAGUAAAUACUUGAUGACUUAUUAUGAGGAUAAAUGGAUAAACAAAGCAAUUUAAAUAAUUUCAUCACAUGCAACAGCCUACGGCAAGACAUGAGAGUACCUGUCUGCAGACACAGAGCAGUGAGACCUUUUGUAAAAACAUGAGCAGAGGGAAGUAGGCAAGACAGUCUAUGUGCAGACAUUCACUGAGAGGACCCAAGGUGACGUCUGACGUGGUCAUCCCGUUUUGUAUUUGGUCUUUGUUGAACACAUGAAUACACAAAAACUAGGGUGACCGUUUUCAGAAUCCCCAAAAAGAAGACAUGGCUUCUUUGGGGCAGAGUCACAGAGUUGCACAAAGUUAAUUUUGAGAGUUUUUCACACGCUUCUAACUCAGUAAGUCCACAUGACACAAACUCGAAAGUUCUACACAAAACCCCGGACAUUUGAAGGAUUUUAUAAACUUCUCUAGGCAAAGCUGGACAGCCCCCCAAAAGAGGACAUGUACAGGUAUAAGAGGACAUAUGGUCACCCUACAAAAAAUCAUAUUAACAUUAUAUACAUUAAAUACAGCCCCAAGAAAAAAUCAUAUUCACAGGAGACAAAAAAUAUAUACUUUCCGGUGUAAUCGCUUUUAACUUGAAAAGCUUUGAAUCAACUUCAAAUGUAAAAAAGAAAUAUUUGCUUUUAUUUUGAAAGAGUUCAAACAACUUCCAGUCUGCUCAGUGGAGGUCUGCAGCCAGACCCUCUUCAAGUAGGACCAUUGCUUGAUUACUGGGAAACAUGGCGAUCUUCCCAGCGAAAGUUGUUCUUCAUUUUGACUUUUUCACACAUUUUUACUGUAAAAAUCCUCAAACUUAGAGAGGUUGAUAUUUUAAAUUGCAGUUUGGAGAUAAUCUGAGUAUUCAAGUGAUGUACCUCCUAAUAUUAUCAACGUGUUAUCAGCCAUCUCAAUCUCAUCCAAAAUUUCUUCUUUGUGCUGUCUUAACCAACUUUUAUGGUUAAUACACAUAGCUUUAUACUUAAAAUGUUAAACUUUAGAUUCAAUCCAGCUGUUUUAUCCACAUCUUUCUAUCUGCGCUUGUGCCUACAGAGGUUUCAACAGAGCACAUGCUGAGAAAUAGAGGCCCGCAGCAUUCAUAGCUCAGACAUGUGUUCCUGUUAUGCACACUCAGUGCCUCUGUAUUGAGAAAAAAGCAAAUAAAACAUAAUCCAAGAUCCGUCUCGGUGUCUCCAGAGUGCUCUGAACCUGUGACACAAAGGUUAAAGAAAGGAAAAGCGACAAAUGAAACACAUUUCUCUUACUUUGUAUUCAUUUGAAAGAUGCUCUCAACAAAGUAAAUGGUGUCUUUUUCCGGUACUCCAGCCUGAUUUAGAUGGAGAGAACCCCAGGUGUAUGCUUAAACCUGCAGGAAAUGAGACAUUAUCGAGUAAUAAGAUGAGGUGCCUUGUAUACAAAAUUGUAAACUGACUGGUUGGAAUCCACAGUCAUGCAUUCAAUGCCAAAACACCCAUUCACACAGCAGUAUGAAGUGAAAUGUUUGCAUGACUUAGAGGGAAAAAAAAACCUGCAUAGAGUCAGACUGCUCACAUAAGCUGGUGUCACAUAUGUUUAUGUUUUAUUCUAUGAAGAAAGAGAGAACAAUCAGCUCAAUGUCACAGCUGCAGAUAUGGAGUUAACGUAUAGUGUAGCUAUAUUUGAGUGGAUGUGGAAGCCUCUAUAGAUUGGCACAGCUAAUGAUCAUUUAUACAGAGUUGAGUCAAAGUGAGCAGCUUUCUACUGGAAAUGUAAUCGUUUGUAGUAUUUUAUUCAGUUAUUUCUUCACGCAGAUUUUAAAUGAGCUUGCACAGUUGCCAUAACUUCACAACUUUGACUACUUUUUCAUUAUAAGUACACAAAAUCUGGUUAGGGAUAAUCCUCUGUUUAGUUUACACUCUGACUUUGUUUCUGCUUCUUGCUUACCACAGAGUAAGUCUCCUGUUCAGUUUGAGUUAUGGCCUUUAUAGAGUUUUAUUUAAGCUUCAUGAAUGAACUCUAUUCUUUCACAUUUGUUGCCUGUGCAGGAGUGAUGUAAACCGUAGUUCCUAUAGUGUCCUCUAGAGGCUGCUGUUAUUAAAACCUGUGGAACAUGUUAGCAGCCUGGUACAAAAACACAGCUACCAUUUUGCAUCUCUGAGACCAUGUCCAUGUUCUGCAUAGUCUUCAUUAGAGUCAAAUGUGCAGUUUUAGAGAGACUAGAUAUUGUUUGGUUGUGUUGGUCGUAUUUUGACGUAGAAAGAUUAAAAUUGUGCUAUUUGCAAUCUGAAAACUCAAGAUUUCAACCUUUUUCAAAAGCCUGCCCAGUCUUAAAGUCAGUCUGAAGUGUAACUGUUUGCAUAAAUGAAAAACCAAAUGGUGUUAAAUUCAUAGUAGGUAGCUGAACUGCAAAUUUAGACAACUUAUAAUGUCAUAUUUUAUUUUAGUUUUCUUCUCUGAGCCACUAAAAAUGAGUUUGACCACAGCCAGAAAAGUCCAAUUUUAAUCCAGGCAAUAACAAUAUAAUUCCAAUCAUUAUUCAGAUCCAGCCUUUCUUAUAUCAAACACAAUGCAGAUUAGAAAUCAUGUGGCUUUGGACUCAGUCUUUCAGAGUCAGAUUACGACUGUAAACUCCUCACACCCGAGGAUCGUUUCAGGAGAUAAUCUGUUCCAGUCAGCAUCAAAGCCGGACCACCCCAGCAUUCGCUGGAAGGAACAAAUCGGAUCCAAAAUCAGCCAAAUGAUCCUUUGGUGCGGGGACAAUGAAGCUGUAGACUGAAAUGGGGAACAGGGGAUUGAAGUCUUUUGGCGUGACUCACUGGCGAGCCCGUUUGGCCAAUAUUGGUUAAGAUUCGAGGAAAGAGGAGUUACCACGGGGUCCUGGUGAAACUGAAGACCGUUCAGCCGGAGCAGGAGCAGAAUCACAGCGCUGCAGGGUUUGACAUGGUGUAAAAGAAGAAGCAGUUUCCCUUUCAGGACAAAAUGCAGUUUGGGAGGUUGAAAACCAGUUAAGGAGCAUCAUUUAACUGGUGAAUACUGAUAGACAUGCUGCAGUGCCAUCAUUUAAAAGAACUUGUAUGUAGGUCCCAAAAUAGAAAGACUUGGUCACUAUUGAUGUUUGUUUUGGAUUCAACUAAGUCAAAAAUCUGGUUAUUGGUGUCCUUACUGCGGAAAUGUUAACAUGAAACACAAAAUUUCUUUAAGGUAAACUUUAUGUAGAUAAACAUUACUUCUUACAUAUCUGCCAUAUUUUACACCCUAGAUGAAUUUAAGUGUCAUCAUUCACAUGUUAGUCUCAAUAAUGACAGAGAGGUUCAUUUUGGUCCAAACUGUGCUCCCUCAUCCUCUAGAUUUAUGAAUCCUUUGUAUAUUUUAUUAUAUUUAAAAACAUUUUUGGCUUGUUGAUGCACUUUAGUAUCACCCCCGUGUCUGAACUAUAUUGAAAUUGCAUGACCUGAUUGUAGUCCAUUUGCAAAUCAGUGUUAUGAGUUCUUACCUCAAUCCUUCUCUCUGCCUGACUGAGUAUUUUUGGCAAUAGCACACCUUUUAAAAUCCUUUUAUCAUCAAUAUUCUUUAUUUUUACUUUUGUAUGAUGUAGCUUUUUAAUAUCAUGCUGCAACUAAGAUGCGAGCACACAGUAAGUAUCAGACUCCAGCUGUACUGGAUAGAGACGAAAGAGGGUUAGAGCCACAAGAAGAGGAGGGAGAUUUUACUUCGAGAUUAAAGUUGAAAUUUAAAAAAGUUUAAAUUUCGACUUUUUUCAUGUCAACUUUAAUCUCAAAAUUCCACUUUAAUCUCAAAAUCAGAUUUUUUUUUUAUGUCAAAAUUUCGACAGUAAUCAGGACAUUUUAUAAUAUCUGAAUUUCGACUUUAAUCUCGAAUUUUCACUUUUUAAUCUUGAAAUUUGACUUUAUUGACAUGAUUCCAAUUGUUAAUGUUGAAAUUUUAACUCUAAUCUCCUUCCUGUAAUUAUGUUUUUUCUCUUCAUGUGGUCCUAAUCCUCUUUCGUAGGAUAGAGUCGUGUUUUCUGCUGCCCUGGAUCGAUUAUAAAAGAGCACCACCAUUACAUUAGUGUAAUACUGCAGCUACCUUCAACCUUUUGAAUCAACAGAUAAGACUCAGAGGUUAAAAACUGUUUAAAGAACUGUAGUAUGAAUAAACUUUUAAAAGAUGACCCUAAAGGUCCAAAAAGCAGGACCCCAUCCGACCCCAACAACAAAAACUCCUGAACAUCCCGUCCAUUAAGGGAGUAAAUAGUGAAACAGUAAAUGGACAGCACUUAUACAGUAUAGUGCUUUCUGAGUCCUGAGACCACUCAAAGUGCUUUUACACUACAUGUGCCAUUCACACACACACAUUUACACAUUGAUGGCAGAGGCUGUGAUGAUAAGUGCCCAUCAGUACUAAUACCGCCCGUCUAUCCACAUGCUGCUUUUUUUGAGUUGGAGGUCUUGUCCAAGGAUGAGGUUUUGAAACAAACCGCCAAACUUCAGGAGUGGAGGGAAGAGGAGAGUAAUCACAGGAGAAAGAUUUGCGAUCAGUUCAUCUACGAAAAAAAAUUCAAUUAGAAAGAUCUCGCAGAGCUGCUGUCCUAUAAGAAUCUUAUCUUUUUAAUAUCAGGGAAAGACAUAACACCCCUAAGCCAGAGAGAAAUGGAGUGAGUCUUCAGAGAUUUCCCAAAAGAGAGGGAAAGUCUUCUACACCGCACAAAGAAGAAUCAAACUGGAAUCAACAGAAACCUCAAUGAUCCCCGAACAGCGGUAAAUCUUGAUCGUAUUUCGAAGAGUUGUCAAGAUCAGAAAAUAGCUCUUCUAUAAUUGAUGUGGAAUAGACCAAAAGGGAAAAAAAAACAAAAGCUUUGGUUCAGGUAAUAAGUGGGAGUAGUUCAUCUGUUAUUUUGGCCUGAAAUAUUCGACAGAUUUCAGGUGGCUGGGGUUUUAAAAAAUGUUUUUGCCUGAUCCUGUUCUGAGCGCAGCUCUGAUCUGAGAGAUUGAUCCACACCUCGGACUCCAAAACAAUAGAAAAACUUUCAGUGAGUUUAUCAUUUAUCUUUGAUAUGAGUUAGCUCAGAUUGGACUUUUGGGACAAAUGCACUUCUGAUAUCAGAGUAACAGAGAGAGGAAGAUAGCACAGGAGGGAAGGCGUAAAAGACGCUGCAGGAGUCACCGUUUAAUGUAUUAAAGAUGGCAGAGUUCAUCGCUAUGACAACAUCUCGAUGAUACCCUUCACUGUACGAGUGUUUCCUGUUUAUGUUCAGAUCCACUAGAGAAACUGUUUACAUCAGUUCAACAAAGUCCACUGUGGAAACCGAAGCCAUCUGCUCGCUCAAAUAGUACGCCCAUUCAUGGAAAUUCAAGUUUUCAAUGAAGUAAACUUGAAAGGCUCUUCGAUCAGCAGCACGCAGAGUGAAGCUGAGCAGAAGUAAGAAGAAAAUGCAAACUCCUCACUGGAGAAGCCAGCUGGAUCAGACCCAAACCCUUCCUGCUGAUAUCACGGUUCAAAAAGAGAAGAGUGUGCGACUGUAUCCUUGAAUUACCUUCCCACCUUCCUCGUUAUAAUUGAGCUGUAAUACCUGGAUUCACCGUGAACUCUUGAGAUUGAGUUGUAAACAAAUGUGUCCCCGGAUGACAACAGGUUUUACUCAAAGAUUGGAGCCUUGUUUGUGAGGACAAAUUCGAUCCAGAGCUUCAUGGUGGCCUCGCUUCUUGUGCUGCUACUUCAUCAACUGCUUUGCAACCCUCGUUUUGUGGCGUAUCAGAGCCAUACGGCCAAAUAUGACUAAUGCAUGCAUAAGUGGUCCUUUGAUAACAGUGCACUACACACAGAAAAACACAGUGACACAUGGGGAAUGAUCCCAAAUGACUCCAAUUUAAGUGGAGUGAACACACAUACUCAUGAUCAAAGUCUGCAUUGUUUCCAAUUUUUCCCUGUCGUGACAGAUAAAAGCUGGACACACAUUCACUUGUCUGCUUUCUAAAUUUUAUCCUCAUAUUUAUUUGUUGAUUUGCAGUUGAUCAAAACUGUGAAAUGCAUAACUAGAUAAAUCUUGGCCAACCAACAAAACCUGCAAGUUUGUCUUUUAUUGUUGAUGUUCCCUGCAGGGAUUGUUUUACUGUAGCAGUCGAUACCUGCUGAGAUGCUGUAGGAGGUUCAAAGCAUGAAGGCAACCGGACUCGCAUCGUAAAAAACUCUGAUCUUAGCAAGUGUUUUGUCUCAUUUCUGGUUAAAAAUGUCCUUACAGGCUUUAGUGGACCCACAUUCCCCCCAACAAGUCCAGAACAAUGUCUUAUUAUCAUGAAGGUAUUGUACACCAACAUAAGACCUGAAUUGCGCAAGGCUAAUGCGAUCACUUUGACAGCUAUGCUCCCUUUUUUGAUACGACAGUAUCCAUCUGUCGAGGUUUCAUUUACUGCCUGGCAUUUAUGCAGUUCAACUUCCUGCCUGGUGGGUGAACACUGGAGCAUGCACAAAACACUUGAACCAUGGACGUUAUUUUUUCAAAAGCCGUUUUGGUCCCCUGCAGUUUUAACCAUCAGAAAACAAUGUUACUAUACGCGAUAGCAAACCGAUACGCGUCAGGCACUCGGACCAAACGGCCGCCCAAUUCUGGGUGUAGUUCACAUUUAUCUUCCGGACUAAGUUGGACUUAAACUGAGUAUCAUUGGCCAGCUAUCUCCCAUGUGAACAGACCAACCUCUGUUCACACAGUCUUACUAAAAAUGUGCUAUGAAAUAUGUGUGUGUGUGUGUUGUUGACCUUGAGGUGUGUAACUACAGUAGCAAACCCAUCCAACAGAAGAAAAAGAGCAAUGUGGAACAUCAGGUUCUUUCUUAUCAAGUUAGACAUCAUAGUGUUCUGAUUAAAUGAAAACAACCUUUGAGUAAAUAGAAACAUUCAUUAAAUUGCAUGUGUUCAGUGGAAAAGUACAAAAUAAAACACAAUUAUAACACCCCCCACCUUUGAAAUCAAAAUUUCGUCCAUGAGAAGAGUAAAUCAGUCCCAAACCAGAAUCAUCUUGGUUUGUUUGCAAAUGUGAAAAGUUCAAUUUAGUGCGAUUUCCAUCAGAAUAACAUGUUUACAAAAACAAUAAAAGUCAGUUUCAGCUGUACUAAUGCAACAAAUCAAUUUUUUUAACAACAUGCGAACAUACUAACAUAUGGGAUAAAAUGAAAUUAGCCUUUCACUGCUUGUAUUUUGACAGAUACGCUGCAUAGUGGGGAAAUAUUGUGUAUUUUGAACCACACACAUUUUUCAUCUCAUUGAUGAAAACCGAACAUUUGUUUCCUGAAGUUUUGUACCAUCAGUGUUGUAGUUUCCGCUCUUGUUUUCUUGUCUCUAUUAUCAGAAUAAGGUCGUUGAAGAACAUUCAUCAUUAUUUUCAUCUAUGAAAUACUCACUUUGGCGCACACACACAGAGUGAGUUUUGUUUUUCAGACUCCAGUACACACUUAAUAAAAAAAAUCACCUUCAGCCAAAAUUCUGCUUUUUUCCUAAAUGGUAUUUCAAAUCUCAAAUGUUUGUCCCGGUCGAUUAUUGAGAAACAUUCAGCGAGAGCACACACUUGAGAUCACAAAACUGCUUUUGAACGUCUGUUUCAGGCUGUUUUAAAAAGACUUAAGAGUGAGGAUUGAAGUGGUUAUGAAUCGAGGAAGCUGAGGAUCCCUUUCAAUCUGCUGUGAUAUUGUUCCCAGGCAGCUGUCCUUGAACCUUUUGUACUUCCAUUGCUAUUUUGAUUUGUGGCUGAAUGAGAGGAAUGUGUGCCUUAAAAGCCGGGGGGAGAAAAAAAUGUCUUUAUAUCGCGGUGGUGAAUCCGACGCAUCUUCGCUUUUAUCUGAGAUCGAAAUUUGUUGCAUUCUUUUUCAUUUCUGUCCUUAAAAUUGGAAAUCUUGAUCGAGGUUUGUUUGAAAGGAACCGUGAGACUGAAUGAUGUGCCGUAUGAAGUCACAAAACGAAUCAAAUAAAAAAGUGCAACAACUCGCAUCAAUCAAAGUUAGCAUUUGAAAGUUGGAUUGGCGAAAAGAAAAAAAAGGAAAAAGAUUAUUUUUUUCAUUUUUUUCUCGUCUCUAUUCAUCAUCGCUGUAUGGGGGCAACAUCCCACAACGAGGAAAAUCAUUACCUCGCAUUUUGAGUUUCCAGCUCCAUCUCUAUGUGUCACGCUCAUUCAGUAAAUGUUUCAUGCCACCUCUUCACACUCUCCCAGACCCGAUCCUUGAAUAUGAACUGUAAAUAAAAGAACAAAAGGCCAUAAAGUCAUAUCGCCUAGUGCUCCUGGCGUGUUUUAAAAGCCCCCCGUUGUGCACUCAAUCAUGCUUAGAUCAAACACCGCCGCAGCUUUGUCAUGGUGGACGCCAUGGAAGGAGAGGACAAAUGAUGGGUGUGUGCCUGUGCAAGAAAGAGAAAGGAAUAUGAUUGAUUGCAUGCGUAUUACAGAGUAUGUGUGCAAUGCCACCCUCUGUGGUUUUGAUGUGCUCUGAGUUGGAAGUGAAUCCUAUGUGCCUCCUGCAGUUCACAGGCAUAUUUGCCUUUUGUUGCACCAAUGAGGGAGUGACGGGAUGAUGAGAGAGACAGGCUGAGAGGCAGUGGGAGCAUCUGAAUGACACAGACAAAGGCGCAUACAGACAGCCAGCGUGCACGCUCAUGUGAAAACUCAUGCUGUUGAUCAAGAGCUGAGAUUUUCGACUGAUGGCAGGAUUUAAAAAAAUGGAGAUGUCACCUUUUCUGUCGGGUUUACCUGGUGUGCAAUUAGAGUGAUCUGUGUGACUGUCUGCAAAAGUCGUCACCUUGCAGGUCUCUAAGUGCACGCUUAUCACGCACACACUGUGCAGCAAUACUGAGCAGGUUUUGUGUAUGUGAUCCAUCCGUCUAUGCCUUAUGGUUCCUCAGAAUCCUGCGACAUUUCUGAUGUUAUAUUGAGAUCAAUGUAGCCACAAUAACAGCCACUCAUGCUGCAAUAACAUAUCACAGUUCCAGCAGUGAUUGCUGAGAAUAACCAGGUGAUGAAAGAUGAAAAAUAAAAAGAUAUUUCCUUCUUCCUUUAGCACAACAACUCUGAGAAAGGGCAGGAUCUGUCCCACUCCUCAAGCAUUUCAUGUCCUCUUAGGCUGCCUUCACUUUGGCAUCAAGAUAUCAGAGGUGCAGCAGCAUUCGCCAUUCUUCUUAAUGGGGUUGAGGUUUGUUUUUGGCUUCCCAGACCGCUGUGUAUUGCUAUCGUGUGGUCGUUACCAAAGCUUGUAUAACUAGAGAAGCAAGAAGUCAGGAUAUACGCCGAAAUAUCCCUUUAACUUAACUUUUAACUUUGGGUCUCUCAUUAAUUAAAUCCAGUCAGAUUACAUCAUUAAAGCUGGGUACAGCUUGGGUUAUUUAGCAAUGUUGGCCAAAAUAACUACGCAACCAAUCACUCAAAUUACGUGUGACAUGGCUAGUUUGGGAGUAGCCAGCCCAAACCUGUCUCCUAAUUUUAAACUGUAUUUAUUAUGGACAUACUCUCUGUAGCAUCAUCCACUAGUUUCUGAAGCCUGAAGGAAAUGCUGACUCCCUGCUAAUCUACACGGAGAGGUGAAGUUGAAGCUGCCAGCUGUCUGGGUGACUCCAGAGGCAAAGGGCAGUUCCUCGAUCCUCGCCAAAUGAACACCUACUCAUUAAUUCACCUAUAAGCCUUUUUUAAAAAUCUUUAUUAACAAUACAUUGUGCUAUAAAUAAAGCAAGACAACUCUGUUAUUUAUAUUUUAUUUUAAAGGGACCGUGUGCAAUAAUAAACAUAAAUGUUAGCAUUUUAUACACUGAACCAGAGUUAGCUUAAAGCUUAUUUACAUCUGCCUUAGCACAUUCGAUUACUUUCACUGAUAUUUCUCAGGUGUAAACAAAUACACCACUAACAUCCUCCUCAAACCAUCGACUCUGUGGGGCUCAUGAUCGAUUUUCAGGUAGCCAAUCAGUGCAGCGCCUUGUUUUACAGCAUCCCGGCCCACUCAGAUCGGUGCAUGGAUGAUGGGGUUAGAAACUGAGAGGCUGCAGAUCCCCCACAGAGGCUGAACGCCUGAUGAUUGAUUGAUGAUGAAAAACAACUUGGUCUAUGUUGUAAGAAGCUAAAAAUACACUCAUGUGAGAUCUUUAUGGUUGUAUUAGGAAUGUAACUGAGGAAUUAGGCAUGAAAUUAGACAGAAAUAUAAAAGAAAUACCUGCAAACAUGGCAACCAUUUGUGCCCGUUCAUAAAAAGGUACUUACAAACUAUGCCAGAACUAUUAUUUUUCUUUAUCUGAAACUGUUUUAGUUUUUAAAUAAUGUGGUAAAAAGUGUAACAGAGGCGUGAAGAUGUUUCUUUUCUCUCUUUGCUGCUCACUCCCUGUCCUCUCCCCUCUCUCCCUCCCUUCUCCUCUCCUCUCUCUCCUGCAGAGGGAGCCGUGGUUCUGCUCAUUUCCCUCUCACUUCUCCCCUCAGUCGCACACAUACACACAUACACACACACACACAUUCACACACAGAUUGUACAGUGGCUCUGUGAAAUAGGAUGCACUGCUAGGGCUGAAAUGAUGCAAAGCACCCUUGUUACAUAAAUGUGUGUUUUUGAAAAGGAAAAAAAGGAAAUUGCACAAUUUUGCAAAGUCACACAAUAUGUUACAAGUUUUGGGGUAGAAAGAAGACACUGAACACCAAAAAACAAAUAUUUAAUUUCCAUGUGAAAUGGAAAAUCCUGAUAUAUUUACAGAGUCUAUAUAAACAGAAUAAAAACACACAAAGGUGCAGCUGUUAGUGGGUAUUACAGCUUGUGGAUAUUUGUACAUUUGUUAACAAGCAUAAGUAAAUUAACUCUGUGCAGUUUAUAAUGAGUUGUUGAUAUAACAGAGUGAAAUGCUCUUAUAAAGGUCAGCGGUAUAAGAAUAGAUGCAGGAUGGAGUAUUAAGCUAUAAGUCUUAUUGACUCUGAAGACGGAGAAGAAUUAAUUUACAGGCAGCUUUUCAAACUGAACCAAUAACUUAUCAGUCAAAUACUAUUUUAACUGUAAUGAUAUAGGGUAGUAACUGACUGUGCAAAUGAUGAUGUAAAGUGAAUGGAUGAUUAUGCGAAUUUUGAACAUGGUGAGCAAAAUGUAACAUGAAGUGAAGGGAUCAUGCUAACCCUGACAGGGUUGUAAAGAGAAUAAUCAAUCAUUUCACAUCCAUUAUCCUGCUGGUUACAUGGCUGCUAACCAACUCACGGUAUAAUUCUGCCUUAGAGUUACCUCGGAGCUGGGAAUGACGUCACACCCGAGUUCCCAGCUUUUCAGUUACCAAGUCGGAAAAAAGCAAAAUCAGAGGUGGAAACAUGAUGGCUACAUCUACCAAAGUUAUUUUAGCGCUUGUUAUUUUAGUUUAGCAUCCCCUUUCACAGAUGUAGUCAUCUUAUUUCCACCUCCGAUUUUGCUUUUUUCCGACUUGUCGAUAAUCGGCCAAAACUCGUCAUCUACUUAUCUAGUAGAUGGCGCAGCGACCUUAUGACAAAUUUCAUCUACUAACUACCUCACAGCACAGCAGAGUGACGGAUCUGAAGCAGGCAGCUCAGUUGAAAACCUUUUUCCGAACAGAGUUUGAUUCAUAAUAAAUAUGUGGAAUAUUACUGAGAAGUGUUUGAAAGGCUUAAAAGCAGCCAUUUGUUUAAAAAAAGUAAAUAUGUAGAUAUAUUACUUACAUUAACAAAAUUGUAAAACUUCACAAAAAUUUUUUAAAAAACCAUCCGAUUAUCAGUAAUCGGAUUUUUUUUCCCCCCUAAUAACCGGUAUCGGCAUCGGCCCAAAAAAAGAUUAUUUGUGCCCAUGUAAACACAGCUAAUGUACGACUAAAGUAACAUACUGUACCUCUCUGCUGUGGACAUAUAUAAGUUAAAUAAAUGUGUCUAACAUAAAGCUGUAAAAUGUCCUCAUUUAUCGAUAGGGGGAUUAUUUUCUCCACAAACAGAAUGUGACGUCUUUUCAUUCAUUGCACCGUGUGGGCUCCACCACUUACUAUAAAAUGCCGCACAGCGAACGUGAUAGCCUGUCAUUGUCUUUAACAUUUUAAGUGAUCCCUUGCUAGGCAGCUCAUAUUGUAGCGAGCUUUGUUAAAGACUGCAGAGCAGCUGCGGUGUUGCUUUCCAGAGAAGAAAUGUUAGGGAAAUAGUAAUUAUGCUGCCUCUUAAGAAAGCCAACCAGGGGGUAAAUUGAACUGUAAGCAGUCCGUGAGACAGGAGCUUUGUGCUAUUUUGCUGCAUUCCUUUAUAUGGAAAUCAAUAGUGGCUGUAGCCCCCACAUUGUAGACAUGAAGGAUAGAUGAGGAUACAUGCAGGUGGGAAGAUUUAUUACUGCUUCAUAUAAUGGAUGAGCCAUGCACAGAAAGGAGAGAAUCCAGCAUUGUGAUAACUACUCAGAUAUUCCUCUCUGUGCACGUCACACAAUAGAUAUCUCAUCGUCUAUUCACUGGCUAACGCUGAUAUUUUAAUGGUGACUAAAAAAGCCUGAUGGAAUGGCUUUUACAGCACCACCAAUAUGAUCUGAUAUGACUGACAGCUCGAACCUCACCGCAGUAUAAGAUGGGAUCAUUUGGGACACGAGCACGACAUCCUCAUGCACCGAGGAGCGAACGAGGACUGUACAGGACCAAGAGACGAUGAUCAGUCUUGAGGGCUUUUUUAUAUUCUGGUUGUACAUCCUGCAAUCAUCAGCUCUCGUAUAGAUGUAUACUUAGUACUCAAAGCACAGAGAACAUAAGUCCUCAGAGGCUGAGGGCCAUGACUCAUUAAAGGAGUGAAGAGCAUCUUAAAGUACUUGUGAGGGACAUUAAAGACGGGCAUGCAAUUGUGCCUUAAGAGGUGCUUUUGUAUUUUCUAUACUUAGAAAAGGGUUAUAUACGCUGUAGUCACAUAUGCAGAGACAGAGCCGGCCCAAGCCUCAAUGGGGCCCUAAGCAAAAUUUGGUUUUGGGACCCUCCAUUUCUGCCAAUAAUAUUAAUUUUUGAUCAUUCCCACACCUCCACAAAUCUCUUUGAUUAUUACUCCAUGAUAUGCAAACAUAUCUUUAUCUUGGCGUUUUUUCUCUUCUUCUUCUUCUUCUUCUUCUUCUUCUUCUUCUUCUUCUUCUUUCUUCCUCUUUCUUUUCUCUGCUCCUUUUUUGCGACAUUGUUUUGCCUCACAAAUACCUGUUCUUUGGAUGCUCAGUGCACUUUGCACAGCAGGAGGCACAUAACGGUAGAGGAGCUUUGACAUAUCAGCAGUAAGAAUCGUAGGCCUACAUCAGCAGAAGCACUAAAAUGUUUUUAAUUUAUUUUAUUUCAUUUUUACAAUGAUAUACAUUUGAUCAUACAGAAAGCAUCACUCAUAUAUGCAAGAAAUAAAAAAUAUUAUUAGUUUUUUUUUUUUUUUUUGCUCUUGGGGGCCCCCUAUUGGCUGCAGGGCCCUAAGCAGAUGUUUAGUUCACUUAUGCCUUGGGACGGCUCUGUGCAGAGAAUUGAAUGUCCAGAUUUUACGUGUAAAAGUGAAUUUGUCUUGAACAGAACUUUCUGGAUAGUAUUAGAAAUUGUCAGCCUUCAAAAUCCUGGUAGAUGUGAUUUUUUCAGGCCAGUGUUUCACUAAAAAUAAGAAAAAUAAAUCACUUUUAUCCACACAAUGAAGAAAAAGAAUAAAUAUGAGUUGAUUAGAGUUUGUGUUUAAAAGUUUAUCAGGUUUGUAUUCCAUCUGUAGUGUUUACUUUGUGUUGCUGUGCAAAUAAAAAUGAAUUCACCCUUCAAACAUUCUAGUUAGCUAGUUAGCUUCUUGACUCAAAGUAUAACGUUACUUCACGAGACUGGAGGGCAGACUUGAUAAACUGUAUUCUGUCUAUUUUUAAUAUAAUAUGAACAUCAUGUCAUUUUUAUCUCAUAUUUCAAUGAUUUAAAUAUUGUAUCUGCUUUCACUUUAACUGCCCUGGGACAACAGGUGGAAAUGAGCAAUUGUUUCCAUAACCUGGCUCAAAGCAUCUCUUCUUGUCUUAAAGAUUAACGUUUUUUUUUUCUUCUUUUUUUGUGCAAUGUUCCUGUUCUAAAUGAAUAAAUUCAGUUUCAUUCAAUUCAAUUCAAUCUUUAUUGAUUUUUAGCUUUGAAAACUGCAGAACUGGGUUUUUAAUGGAACUGGAACUCAAUCUUUAUCCUCAGUCCAUGUCAUUAGGAUUAAAGAGGCGUGUGAUGUGCUGUAAAUAGACACAAUUACUCUUCAUUUAACAGGCUGUUUGCCAUACCUGUAGAGGAGUAGUUUCAUGGGUAAGCUCUCAGACAGGGAUCUCAUUUACAAUAAAAAUUUGAUUUACGUUUCAAAUAUAUUGUAUAAAAAAAAGAGGAGAUCCUAUAACAUGUUAUCAUCUGAUUAGCCACACAAUGUUUGAGCCUAAUGAAGUAUGACUCCCUCUAUGUUCUUACUUUCAUAUCAGGGGUUGUUUUCAGGUGUUAUAAUGGUGUCAGGGGUUAAUCUCACUCCAGCUGACCAAUGCCCUCAUGUAUAUGUUAUGAUAGUGAUACAUACGGCUAAUAGUGAGCCAGUACAGUCCUAGAGUUAAGAUUAACAACGCCCAGCUCACCAUAAAUAUUCACACUGAUAAGACAAUGUCAAUUUGUUGUUUCAAGCUAAUAAAAAUAUAUAUUUUCUUUUUUUUUUUUAGUUUUCUCAAGUGGAAACCAGCAGGAAGGAAAUCUCCAGCCAAGGCUUCACGUCACACUCAAACACACCUUCUCGCUAAUGCAUCUCCAUCUGUCCGUGUAAAAGCAAGGUGAGCAGCAACUGGAGCUCAAAGUGCUUUGUUGCGCCGAGGGACUCUGCCUACCCACCCUGCAGGACAUCAUAUUUCCCCGUAAGGGCCCCACCUGAGUGACUCUUUCAUUCUGUUUCCACGGCUUUUUUCACCGUGUCCUUUUGUUUCACCCUUGGGGAGGUUAAAAACAAAGUGCUCUGUAACCUGCUGAGUCCCUGUGGCACGACCCCACAAAUGGCAGCUUGCACCACCGCAUCCCCAUCCCUCACUGGAGUCAUGUGGUGCGGUUCCACGGUGGUGGUUUUAUGUGCAGUCACUGAUGGUCAUUAGUGCCAGUGUAAUGAUCACAAAGUGAACAUCUGAGUGCGGUGACCGAGUGUAUAGUUUCAAGUGUUAUUAGUGAAGUGUGUUUCUACAACCUUUAACCGAUGGCCCAAUUUCCUGCCGUUGAAGGUUAAUGUCAAGUCUUGUUUAUGAGAAUUAAACCUGCAGUUCUUAUCAUGACCAGCAGGGGGGAAAGCCGCCUUUUGCAAAAAAAUAGAAAUAAAAAAUGCAAAAGAAAGAGGAAGUUGUUCUGAGCCUUUCAAAAUAAAAGCAAAUAUACUGGGAGUACAUUUCCUUUUUUACCUAAAAAGUUGAUUCGAAC